AACAACCAUUCUUGAGCCUCCGGUUGACGAAGGCAAACGUCCAAACUCUAAGUUAAUUGCCAGAAAGUUUGUUUUUGAGGAAGAUGCAAUAUCGAGGCUCAGAGAAAAAUUUGACUCAACAACUGGCGAAGGUUUGAGUUUCAAACCUUCGAGAGUUGAGAUGAUUACAACACUUUUAUGGAGGUCACUUAUCCGUUCCACAGGAAGUACUUCACAUUUGAAACGGUCUGUAAUGUCAUUUCCACUUAACUUGCGUGGUAAAGUAGCAACUUUUCCUGAAAUUGCCAACUCUUUUGGGAAUCUUAUCAUCGAUAUUCCAAUAAAAUUUGAACACGACGAUGAAACAAAAAUGGAGUCGUUGCAUCACAUUGUAAAACUCAUAAAAGAGUCAGUUCAAGUGAUUAUCAGUAAAUGUGUCAAAGCUACUCCGGAUGAAAUAGUUUCUUUGGUUAUCGACUUAUACAAGGAUAGUUACGCCGGAUUAGAAUGGGGAGGAGACAAUGAAGUUGUGAAUUUUACAUGCGCAAGUUUAUGUAGGUUCCCCAUACAAAAAACUGAUUUUGGUUGGGGAAACCCAAGUUUAAUGCACUUUGGGUCAAGACAUAGCCAAGUUUUUUGGUUGUAUGAUACUGAAUGUGAGACUGGAAUUGUUGUGCAAAUGGAAUUGGAGGAAAAAUACAUGGAUAAACUUGCAUGUGACCAAGAUAUCAUGGAUUUUGUUAAAUUUUAGGGUUUAAUUUUCAUGUUCUUUCUUCAUUUAAUUUGUACUCCCUUUGUUUUAAUUUAAGUACGUGUGUUGCUAUUGCUUUUCUUUGGUUUAAUUUGUUUUGAAUAUAAAUAUCACUUUCUAUGAACACGCUUUGACUAUAAUUAAGUAGCAUUUCACUACAACAAAUGUGAUAUUUAGUUACGAAAUUAUUAGGUAAGAUACUAAAUUCGUCACUAAUUAUUCACCUUUUGUGACAACAAUUAUAUUUCGUGUUUAAAUGUAUGAGCAAAAUACUUUUAGUGACGAAACAUACAAUUUCGUAGCAAAGUUUUGUCCAUUUAAGUUUCCCACCAAAAAAAAGAUUGGCGCCAUUUAUUAAGAACUAUUAGUGACGCAUUUUAAGUUAUCAACGACAACUUAUUUUGUCACUAAUAAUGCAUCCAAUUUGUGACAAAUUAUUAUUUGUCUUAGAUGAGUUAUAAUUUUGGACACGAAGAUUUUUUUUUUACUAAAGAUAAGUUAUUGCAAUAGCGACAAAUUAGAAUUUGUAGUCAAAUGUUGUAAGCUUUAGCCACAAAAUUUAUAUUUAAUUGCUAUCUAAAUUUUUGUCACUAAUAAUAUAAUCAAUUAGUGACAAACAUUUUCUUUUCUCUAAUCAACUUAUGAUUUAGUGACAACAUACUUUUGUCACAUAAUAUGCAAUAUUUAAAAAGCAAAAAUUUAAAAUUUGCAGCUGAAUAAUUUUAUUAUUUUCUAUUUUUUUUUAGCUAAAUAUAAAAUAAUAUUUGAUUAGGCUUAUUAUUUACAAUUGCAAAUAGCAACUGACGAAUAUUUCUUUAAAGCGUUCUGUAUAGGUAACAACAAAAGAAAACUAUAGAAUGAUAUAAUGAUAUGAUGAUAACGUCAAAUUAUACCUUAAGAAAAUUCAAGUGCCGAUGCUAACAUAAAAUCUAAUGUGAGUGGGGAUUGUGAUAUGACAGAGAGCAAUUAUACAAAAGAUAACAUCGAUGGUAAGUUUAUUUUGCAAAUUUUUUAAAUAUUUUAUGGAUAUUUAAUUAACUAUUUUCUAUAAUGACUAAAAAUAAGUUUAAUUGUGGAGGUCUCAAGAACCCCAACUAUUUGAUUUUAAUAAAAUUAGGGAUAAGGGUCUGAAAAAUACCCCAACUUUGGUCGAAUUUGCUGUUGCGAUACUAAACUUUCAUGUGGACCUAUUACCUCCCUUAUGAUGUUUGAAUUUAGAUGCAUAUCUAAAUAUUAUGAUGGGAAUUUAGAUUAAGAUGUAUAAAUCUAAAUAUGCAUCUCAAAAUUGAGAUGUUUUAAAAUUUGAAUACUAAAUAAUUAUGAUUAUUAUAAAUAUAUUAGUAUGUAAAAUUUAUCUUUAUUUAUAAUACUAAUAAAAAAAUUAUUAAAAUGUGAACUUAAUCUAAUAAUAUAUCAAUAAUAGUUUUUUUAAAAAAAAUAAAUUAAUGGCAGUUAGUAGUGACGAUGCCUAGUUGUGGUGGUUGUGGCCUUGUGGGUGUGGAUACCCUGUUUUACCAAAGAUAUUUUUAAUUAAUUAAUUAAUUCAUUUUUCUUUUAACUUAAUCAAGUUUCGUGAAUUUCAAACAAAGUGAAAUAACUAUUUAAAUGUGUCAAAACUAUUUUUAUAAUUAUUGUUGGUGCUAUUUUGUUAUUUCAUUUACCAAAAUAUCCUAAUAUACUAUUAUAUAUUUUACAUAUAAUUUUAAGUAUUAAUUAUUUCAUUUUAUUAAUUUAAAAACUACUUUAUUUAUUAAAAAACCAAAAGUGAGUAUGUUUUUUAUUUUGUCAAAUUAAAGCCAACUGUGGUUUAAUUAUAUGAUCAGGACUCCACUAUUACUAAUAAUUACUUUAUUUUGCUAAAUCAAAGGAUUUCAUUAUUAAAUUAAUUAAUGAUUAUCUCAAUUUUACUACAUAUUGCCUUUUUCAUAAAUAUCUUCAAUUAUAAAUAAUUGAUUAAAUUUGAUUAUUUAAUCAAUAAUUGGUCACAAUUGCAACGUGAAUCGGUUAUGUUUGAAAGAAUUAUGGCUAUAACUUAAAAGAUGAUUGAUUAAUUUUUAAAUUUAAUUUGGGUCAUUUUCACUCUUAAAGAACAACUUUCAAUCUUAGCUCUUUCCCACGUCAACUUUAGUAAUGACCCUAAGAUGGACUGGUUUUGAUAAUUUGUCCCUUCUAAAUUUUUUAGUCUAAAAUGACCUCCGUAAUGGGUGAUCUUGAUUUUUCAACCCCGUUAAAUAUUAUUUUUUUCUUUUAUAAAAAAUCCUUUACUUUAGAAAAUUCUAACUUUUGCCCAUAAGACAAUUUUCAAGAUAUUUUAAGACAAUAAACCUUCUCAAUUGACAUGAAGUUCUGCCUAUCAACAAAAAUUAGAACUUAGGUAUGAUCAGACACGAUUUCUAACUUUUUUCCCCUUAAGACAUUCAAUCAAGACAUCUUAAAAUAUAAUUUGUUCAAUUCAAACUUCGAUUAAGGUAAAUUUAAUCUUUUAUUUUAAAAAAAAUACUAUUAUACAACAUAUAAAAUUAAUUCAAUAUGAUUCGAUAAUUUUAAAUUUUAUUUUGAUAUUUUGCAGUAUCCAUGAAACAUUGGCAACCAUAGUUGAUUCAACUUCGAUUUAUUUAUAGUCAUAUAAUAUAGAAUUAUGAUUUAUAUUUUUUUUAAAAUAAACAUAUAAACAAAUUAUAUCAUAUUUACACCUUACAAUCUUACGUAGAAAUAUAUGUUAAGGAAAUUACAAGCUACCUUUUUUGUGAAUCAAUAAUUUUGGUAUCUGUUUCAAUAUCAAAUAUUUUGUAGUCAAAAUUUAAACAUCUUCACAUUUAAUUUUGUACUAACAUUAGGUUGUAUGAUAUAUACUAUAACUUUUUAUGUAGCUAUACAUUUUGGCAUAUUUAUAAAUAUCUAAUACUAAAAGAAUUUAAUAUAUAUAUAUAUAUAUAUCAUAAUACUGCAAGCACAGUAUUAAAAUUUUUGACUUGAUAUCUAAUGUAUCACGUGCACCAUAAUGUUGUGCGUUAACUCAUUUAAUUGGGCUACAAAUGAUAGAUUAUAUCAGUUUGCCAAACACAUAAUUUCAUUUUAUUCUAGAGGUCUAGUUUGAUGCUACAUAUCAACUGAUGUGGUAUACCAAAUCAAAUAAAUGAGAAAAUAAGAUCAUGUCACAUAUCAAAAUGACAUAACAUUACAUUUGAUGAGAAUAAAAAUAUACAACCGCAUUUGACUUGUUUCGACAAUUAAAUAUCACCAUGUCAUUUGAACCUGACAAAUCAAAAACAAUUUAUUCUCAUCAAAAUUUUUCAUCUUAUAAUUAUAAAUAAAUAGGAGUUCCUAAUUAAGAAAAGUCAUUAAAAUUUCAAAAAAAACAACCGUGGGUCAAGAAUUACAAAUUUUCUAUAAGUUGCAAGCAUUCAAACAUUUGUGUACACAUUAUAAUUACUUGAAAAUAAAGGACAUAGAUAAAUUAAAUAUCAAAACCUUCCAGAUCAAAUUCACUUGUUUGUGGAAAAACUUGUUUAAGGCGGUCAUCAAAGUACUUAUGACAAAUCAAAUUCAAGUCAAAAUAUAUCAAAUCCAACAUAAAUUCAAGAUCAAAUUAAAAACGUUUGAAAUUAUUUUGAAAAUGAAGAACUAGAAGAUUUAUACAAAUUGUAACACUCAUAAUAUUUUUCUAUCUUGAUUAUUAAUUUUUAUACACAAAUUUUAUUGUUUGUAGCCAUAAAUUAUGGGUAAUAUAAUAAAUUUAAAAUGUGAAAAUAAAAGGAAAUCAACACAUUUCCCUGCAUCCACCAGGUAUCUUUAUAUUAUAAUAAAUACUUAAUUUUCUACCAAACUUUCUUUUUAUAUUUAUAUUUCCCUUUGUUUUAAUUUAUUUUCCAAUGAUUCAAAAAAAAAAAAAAAAUUCCAAACUCUUUUGUUUUUAGUUUAUUUUUAAAAUAAAUUCUCUUUCCUUAUUGUGGUAAGUCUUUAAUUAUAAUUUUUACAUGAUAUAUUUAAAAUUAGAAGAUUAAAAACUAUUUUGACACACUUCACUUAUUUUUAGUUUAAGAAUACACAAUUUAAAAACUCUUAUUUACUUUCUUAAAUUUUAUGUUAAGUCAAAAUCAAAUAAAUUUCUUAAAUUUUAUGUCAAAUAAAAAUCAGAUAAAAGUAUUUAACAAAAUCACAUGAAGAAAGUAAAAGAGGGUAUUCAUUUCCAAAUUUGUAGGAAAAAAACACACGUAAUUCUCUCAUUUCCUGUUCCUUCUCCACAAAUCUCUCUUUUAGUUAUUAGCCACAUCCACUCCUUAUCUCCCCACGUAAUACUUCUCUCCCAUUAUCUUCAUUUUUAUUUUUUAUUUUUAUUGAAUUUUGAGUUUUUUAUCUGCAUAAUCCUUAAAUAUAAUAUGAAUAUGCAACUCUCUUACUUUCUGCUAUACCUCAUUUGAAUUUUUAGUGGGUUUCUUAAGUUUAUUUUAAUUUGUGAACUUUGUCUCCCUUCACUCUAGUGUUCUUUUUUUUAAAAAAAAAAUAGUAUGAUAAUUUAACUACGAGUUACUUGUGUUUAGCCUAUGAGUUUGUUCUGUGUUAGAGACUUUUAGGGACUUGUUAAAAAAUAUGAUCUAAUUUUUUCGACUGCUCUAUAUACUAAGUAAGUUUCUUCAUCUCGAUUGUUGAUUUUUUUUUGUUUGCAGACAAAACUCAAGGUCUAUAUCUUUAGAAAAGAGGGAAUGACAAUUUUACCAUGUAAUUUGAGUUAGUAUCUUUUCUAUUUAUUUCUCAUUCUAAUAUCAAUUUUACAAUUAAAUUUUGAAAAUAUGUCAUGUUUAUAUCAUAAUUGCAGCGAGUACAUAUUAAAAUUGUAUUCUUUUCCUUUUCACACAGGUAUGUACAUGAAUGGAAAAAUUGAAUGAAGAGUAAAGUUAUCAGAUAAGUUGUUUACAUUAGCAUAUAAGAAGUAACAUUUUUAUUUUCUUAUUGACGACACAUUAUGUACAUUCGUUAGGAUCAUAUAAUAAUCUUUAAUGAGAUUAUUUCAAUAUUAUUUUAGUUCUAAAAUAUUAUAGGAUCAUGAGUGACACUUUUUGUUAUUAUGUUAAAUUUUUUAUUUUGUUAUGUUGAGUUUAUAUUAUAAUAUGAUAUCUGCUAAGUUUAAAAAUUAAAUUUAAUAUUUGUCAUGAUGUUAAUUUAAUAAAUUUUUACGACUUAGACUUUUCCUUGUAAAAUUUUUAUAUUGAUGAAUUAAUUAAUCUUGUAAAAUAUGAGAAAAUUUGGCACCAUGUAUAAAUUAUAAAAUUAACGAGAAACUAGUGAAUUAUUACCAUUUACAAGUUUGAACGUCAUCAAAUGUUUGUUGUUUUAACUGUAUGAUAAUGGAUGAAUUUUAUUAUUAUUUAAGAUAUUUUAAUUAUUUAUUUUUCAAUUUAUGUAAUUCUAAUUUAAAAAAUAAUAUCAAUACGAAUAAUUAAAUGUCAUCGAAUAUUUGUGCUCAUCAAAAGAUUAUAUCAUCAAAAGUAACUUUUAGCAAGGACUAAAUCAUACUUUUCAAGACAAAUAUUUUUUUCACAAAUAAAUUAUUUCGUCAUAAGUCGACUACAUUUAGUGACAAACUAUAUUGUCACUAAUCAUGAUUAUUUACAGUGACAAGUAUAUCUUGUCGGUAAAAACAAUACUUUUAGUGACAAGAUGAUAGAUUUAACUACGAAAUUGUUAACCUUUUUAUGAUGAUAAAUUUGUCCCUAAUUUAUAUAUUUUAGGACGAAAUAAUUUUUUUAUAUAAAAACAAGUCAUUAGUGACAAAAUUACAUUUUUUCAACUACUAAAUACAUAUAACUUUAGAGACAAUUGAUGUUGUCACUGAUUGAACUAAAUAUAUAGUGAUGGUGUAAUUUUGUCGGUGAAAAUAACUUUUUAGUGACAAAAUCAUACUAUUAACAAAAAAUUUACACUUUUUAUGACAUAUAGAUUUGUCACAAAUAUCGACACAUUUGGGGACGAUUUUUCUUUUUGUAGUUAAUAUAACUUUGUUAGUGACGAUGCACUAAAUCGUCUUUGUAUACUUUUAGUGACGACUGAUUGACGAAAUUUUUUUCGUCACAAGAUCUUUGGUGACGAACUAUGAUUUAUAAGUGACGAAAUCAUUUGUCCUUGAUAGUCAAAUUUGUUGUAGUGUUUUAAGUUGUAGAAAAGAUUAUACUAAAAUAAAUGGGAGAAGGCACAGGUACCCCUAGACUAUGAUAGAAAUUCCAGAGACAUACCUUAACUAAACUAAAGUCCUAUUACCCCCUGAACUCAUUUUAUAUAUAAUAUUGUACACCUUUUGGCUUAUAUAGACUAGAGCUGUCAAUAUGGGCUAGCCCACCCCAUCCGGGCUGACCCAUACAGGCUUUGACAUUUUACGGGUCAGGCCGGGCUAGCCCAUUUUUGGUGUGGGUUAGAAAACGAUCGGCCCAGCCCACAAGUACAUGGGCUACAGGCUUGCCGGGCUAGCCCACUUUUUUUAAAAUUAUAUAUUUUUUAUAAUUAUUAAAAUAAAUUAUAAAUUAUAAUUUAAAAAUAUUAUCAUAAAUAUCGACAAAACAAUAUUACAUGGUGUUAAUGUUACUACUUGUUAAUCAAAUCCACAAAUAAAAUUAUCUUUAUAAUAAUUAUUAAGGUUUUUUCAAAUAAAAGUAUAAAUAUCUAAAUAGAAAUAUUAACAUAAUUGUUUUGUCACAUUAAAACACAAAAAAUGUGACAAUAUUCCAACCAUAAAAAAGUUAAAAAUAAACUCCUUAAAAAAAUCAUGAAACUUAUGGCAUAUCUAACANNNNNNNNNNNNNNNNNNNNNNNNNNNNNNNNNNNNNNNNNNNNNNNNNNNNNNNNNNNNNNNNNNNNNNNNNNNNNNNNNNNNNNNNNNNNNNNNNNNNNNNNNNNNNNNNNNNNNNUUUAAUUUUAAAUUUUAAUAUUAUAUUAUAUUUUUAAAAUUAUUUUUAUUUGGCCCACGGGCCGGCCCUACCUAUAUUUCUCAAGCCCCACAAAUCAGCAGGCUUAUUCAGGCUGGGCUAAAAAGCCCUUUUCUUAAAUGGGCUCCAAAAAUCUUAGUCCAGCCCUAUUAAAUCCCGGGUUAGGCCAGGCCGGCCCAACGGGCCUAGCCCAUAUUGACGGCUCUAAUAUAGACACGUGAUUUUUGACCGAGCAUAAGACUUUACACUUGUUUUUAUUCCUUAAAUAUUUAUUUUAGGUUAAGUUAGAUAUUUUGAUUUUUGUCUUAUUUUAGUAAGUUUAUUUUAAAAGAUUUGAAAAUAACAAAAAAGAAAAGAUAUUUUCAAUAUAUUAAACUUGUUGGACAUUUAAAAAAGAAACUCGUUGGACAUUUAAAAAAUAUUUUCUUUGAUUAUAAUCUUUUUUUUAAAAAUAUUUUACAUUAUUAAUAAUUCUGAUUAAACCAAAGUAGCGUGUGAUUUUGAUUUGCUUUAAUAUCAUGCUGGAAUGAGUCAAAGAUUGUUAGAAUAAAUAAAUAAAUAAAUAAAUAUAUAUAUCAGUUUUUAUUUUGGGCCUAAGAAUUAUAUGAAGGGAUGGAGUUUUAAAUUUCAGUUAUGUGCUUUUGCGGGCUAUUUUUGCUGUUAGUUUUAUUAUUAUUUUGUACCAAUAAUAAAAUAUAAUUUUUAAUAUUGCUUUAAUUAGUUGAUAUUUUAUUAUAAUUUAUUAUUUAUAUGUAUAGUUAAUUAUUAUUUUUUUAAAAGUAAAAUAAAACUAAAACUAAAAAUAAGAAAAUAACUCACCCCCACAAAUCCCAUAUACUCACCGUUAUCAUACCACAUUCUCGAGUCAUGAUGGCACCUACUAUACCCUACCAGUAGGUAAGCCAACCCGUAACCCAGAACAUCAAGCAAUGAGUGAAAGGGCAAAAACUAGCGAAAAUAAUAAUCUAAACCAGAAUAACAAGGCGGAAGCAACCCAAAAUAAAUAUAUACAGAAAUACCCUCCCAGAACCUGGAAGUCACUAGUACAGAGCUAUACUAAUAAAGAGUACAAGUCCCAAAGUGGACCACAACAGAGCGUGUCUCAAAGGCAACAAGACUAGCUAAAAACAAAAGAAGGAGACAGAACAAACCCCAAAAACGUCAAAGUAGCUCAACCCUCGUCUCCGAAUCACAGCUGCAAAAGAAGGCUGGAACUAAUCACCGCUAGUAACUGGUACUGGGACCUGCAUCACAAAAUAGAUGCAGAGCGUAGCAUGAGUACCAACACAACAUGUACUCAGUAGGUAUCAUAGGUCGACUGAGCAAAAAGGGUAAAAACAAUAAGAAAUGACAGAAUCAAGACACAGAGAGGUCAAAGCGAAUAAGAAAAGAAAGCACACGAGCAUACCAGAAAAAAACUAAGUACAACUAAACUAAACCUAACUGGACCCCCAAAAGCCCAGAAGGUACACUCGUGCGCAAGUUCAAAUAAAACCUGAACGGACCCCCAUAAGCCCGACAGGUACACAGCAAGGCUAAGUCUACUGAGAAAGAAGAAAACCGGGCUCCCAGCCCAAAGUAACUAAGAUAAUCCAUCAGACCCCACCCAGCCAGCAGUACACUCCCAGCCCAGCUAGAAAGAGUGACCCUAGGGGGCACCCAACCAAACAGUCCACUCCCAGCCCAGCUAGAAAGAGGGACCCGUGAGUGAGGUAGAUAUCGCGAGUCGUCCUACCAUGCAGUCAGCUCCCAGCCCAGCUAGAAAGAGCGACCCGGGGACACCCAGCCAGCAGCACACUCCCAGCCCAGCUAGAAAGAGAGGCCCAGGGGCGAUCGCUAAUAUCACCGAGUCUACCCAGCCAGCGAUACGUUCCCAGCCCAGCUAGAAAGAACGACCCCGGGGGUGAUGGUAUCUUCAAUAGGAUUCAAUCCAACAACAACCACCGUGGAACGCUGUCCACUCUAAGAUAUCACAUAAAAGGCUCCAAACCUAUACUAUCUCAAUCCCAUGCCUCGAGUGAUGCACCAAACCUUCAAAAAUGCGUCGGAACCGCAGAAUAAGAGGGAGAACAUACAGAAGUGCAGCAAGUAGCGAUAACGCCUAAUCUAAGGCUCAAACUAUCAGACUCAAGUCUGCUAUUCCAGUCUACAAGGAGCUAAGUCAUCCGAACGACGUCGGCAGAAAGUCAAGGCUAUCCAGCCCACACGGGUCAUAAGUCUAAGGCAAAGCUAGCCUAACCUAGACUAAGGACAUCAUGUUUACGGUUAAGGAUGAACAAGGCAUGCAAUACAUAGCAUGCAAGCAUACAAUAACAUUUAACACAUAAGCAUGCAACUCUACUAAACCGGUUAACAUGAUACUAUACCCGAAAUGUGACCAAUCGAUCCUAACAUGAGGUAUCUAAUCAAAAUAAGGUAGUAAACUGGUACCCACUCCCAAUUCACUACAAUCGACAUGCUUUUACACAAUUAAGCUCAAUCUAAAAGAAAGGAAGCCGUAGCCUACCUUAAGGCCGAUCGCGCGCUCUCCAAAUCACUUUACCGGACUUUUCCCUUUCCGAACAGUCUAGAAACGCUGCCCCGCUAUCAAAAAUAGAAUCACAAUGUUACUACGGUCAUUUAGACACCAAAAUUACAACAAACGGAGACGGGUCAAUUUUGGAGUCAAAAUGAGAAUCGUGGGACCCGCACCAAACUGUCCGAAUUUAACUCCGUCAAGAGAUCCUAAACAACACCCCAAACUUGUGUUCCAAAAUGGAACAUAAUUCGAGGCUCAAAACACAAUAAAAACCAACAAGCAAGAAACCACACUUUAAUCAACUAAAAGAAACCCUACAGCAUCAGUCUAAACUCGAAAUAAACAAGAAUCGAAAAGUGCCCAGCACUCCUUGAACACUCUACGACGAAGUCACGACAAUUCUCAACAUGUGGGACUUCGAAUCACCCAGAACCGAGCUAAAAUGAGUGAGAUAUGACCAAAACAAAAAUACUAAAAACAAAAACUCGAAAAAGGUACUGCAGUCAGGUUUUAUCGCGAAAUUACCUUGAACUACGUGCACCCAACAACUUUCGAACACCCUACAGCGAAGCCACCAAAAAUACGAAGCUUCUGCAAUUUUUCCAACAACUAAAAACUCCAACGGGUACUCCGAUCUCGUUCGGAACUCCGUGCACGCAAACGACCAGGUGACCGAACUGUCAGUCCCAGCAAGUCAUAAAUGACUUGGGGUCGCUAUAAGAACGCUCUAAACGACACACAGAAGAAAAGACACAGAAAUGACCAAGAGGGUCAUUACAAACAGUCACCCCUAUACCCACACACGACAAAAAAAUAAAAAAAAGGAUUGAGUUGUAAUUUUUGACGGCUUCAACUUCACAGAUUCAAAAGUCUGCAACUAUUAAUAUUUUUGGGAAAUCAGUAGAUUGUUAGGCAUUGUUUUUCGUGGUUUAAUCUUCAUAAGAGAUAACAUUUAUUUCUUCUUGGUAUAAGUUAAUGUCACGAUUGUUCAAGAUUUGAUUCCAAUGUUAUAAAGUUAUUCAAAUUUUAUGUGUUUAGCUUUGCCAAUAUACUAUUGAAAUACAUGUAAAUAUUUGUAUUGUUGUAUUUGGAUUAAAUAUGAUAUAACAUAUAUCGCUUCUUGCUUUCGUUGAUAGUACAAUUUAAAAAUCAUUAUUUUUUUUAGUAAAAAAAAUGCAUUUUUUAUACGAUUUAAUCGUUAUCAUCCGAAGUGUUUUAGAUUCUUGGUAUUCUAUAGAUCAUAGAUCUAAUGCCAGUUUCAAAUGUUGUGUGAAUAUAAAUGUUAGGUUUUUUUUUAUUUUAAAGGGCUCUUUUAUGUCCAUUAAUUCAGAAUAUUAGCUUUUGCGGUGAUCACUUGCAAAUAAUCAUGCCGCUUCAUUGGUUAAGCGAAAAUAUUUGUUAAAUUAGAUAUAGCCAGAUAUGUCAUUAAUUAUUAGUUACACUAUGUUUGGAUCAUUGUUACCCAUUGUAUUGUAUUGUAUUAUAUUGUAUUGUAUUGUAUUGUAUCGUUACUAUACCUACAAUGUUUGUUUUGAUUGUUACUUAAAAUGUAUUGUAUUGUUAAAUUUCAUUGUUACGUAACAAUGAAAGCCCUAUUUUAUGGAACAACCAAUUUGGUGUGUUCCCAUUGUUUCUUAAUUUCCUUUUCCAAUUAUAUCUUUACAUAAUAUUUCAAAAUACUAUUUUACCCUUUACCUUAAUUAUUUAAAUCUAGUCAAACCUCCUACCCUAGAAUAAUUAAGGAUAUUUUAGUAAAUUUAUAAAUUACAAUACAGUAUGAUACAAUCAAACCAAACAAUUAAAAUGUUAUUAAACAAUAACAAACAAUACAAUCUAGCCAAACAUUGUAUCUAUCAUACAAUAAAAUACAAUACAAUAGAGUACAAUACAAUACAUUAUGAAACAAUGGGUAACAAUAAUCCAAACAGAGUGUUAAAGUGUGCCUUUAGUGUAUUUGUUUAUUUAGUUAUGCUUUAUUGUAAAUUAAUAAUUAUAUUUAAAAAAUUAUAAACUAAUGACAUUCUGUUUUGCUAGAAACGAUAAGUACUAUCAUGUUAAUAAGACAAUGUAAUUAAUUGAAUAUAAUAUUUCGUGGGCAGGUGAUAAGUUAAAUGUAGAAAAGUUUGGUCACUUUAACAUUUUACUAUUUAUUUUUAGACUGCUUUAAUAUAAUCAUAGGUAUAUAUUAGGCUCUAUUAUACAUUAGAUGAGUAACAAUAAUAAUUAAAUUUCAUCUCAAUUAAGAAUGUGGUUCCACAUCUUUUUGAGAUACUUAAGAAACUCAAGGAUGCGGUUACGCACCUUGGCCAAAUUAUUUUAAUAAUUAAUUUUGUUAAUUCAAACCAAGAGGUGUAAAUUGAGAUUAUUAGGUGUGAUGAACUCGAGAGGGGAAGACAAUUAUGUCUCCAAAUGUCAAGAUCGAGAAUGCAGUUAUGCAUCCGGUUUAAGACUAAUAAAAAUUCUAACAAUUAAAAAAUAAGCAAACCAUGACAUAUAUACACAAAUUAUCCAAAAACAUAUCAAGAUAAGUAUAACUCAAUAAAAGAGACCGUGCUAGAACCACGAGAGUACUCGAGGGAUGCCUAAUACCUUCCCCUCGAUCAACAGAAUUCCUUACCUGAAUUUCUGGUUCGCAGACCAAACAAAGAGUCAUUUCCUUUUGAUUAGGGAUUAAAUAAAAUGUGACUUGGAACAUCAUAAUUCAAUUCCAAGUGGCGACUCUGGAAAAAAUAAAAAAAAUAAAAAUUUAUCUCUUAAUUAAUACGGACACUUAAAAAAACCCUUUCCACCGUGCGAAAAAAGAGGUGUGACAUCUCUGACGACUCCGCUGGGGAUACUAACCAGAAUUCGAGCUUUGUUAUGUUGACUUUUAUUUUAUCUUAUUAUUUAUUUUUUUGGAUAUAUUGUGUGUGAUUGCCUGAUAUGAUACUUGUUGCUCUUUUAUCACUUUUUAUAUUGUUGAACUAUAAAUUGUCUUUCUUAGCGCAACCAUCUGAGUUGGCAUGGUUUAAUGGUGUCACACCCCAAAUCCGGAUGUGAUGGCACAUGUCCAUUUCCCACCGGACACGUCAGCCUAACCCAACCACAACGAUAGAGAAGUAGAAAUACGAGAAUAAAAGAUAAUAAAUAAGCGGAAGACUUUAAUUAAGACUCAACACUACCCAGAAUUUGGUUGUCACAUGUACAAACCUCUAAAUACAGAAUUCGAAUAAAAAUAUACAAGUCUCAGAGUAUAGUUCUCGAAUAGAACAAAACUGAAAGUAAAGAUAACUCAAGGGCACGUCUGGAAUGAACCGCUACCUCUCGAGUAUGUCCCGAAGCUCAAUCUGCUAAAGAAAGAGUAUGUCCCAAAGCUCAAUCUGCUAAAGAAAAUACUAAGCCGAAUCUGAGAGAGCUGUCAACCUACACAAUUGUGUAGAAGCAAGGGUGAGUACCGAAAACCACAGGUACUCGCAAGUAACUCUAAACUAAGCAAAACUAGCAGCUACAAACAACUCCUUUCAAUCCCAACCGAACCACCGAAACUUCAAUCUAGCAGCAAACCAACCAACCUAUACUCAUAUUCAACAGCCAGAACCAACAGUAUAUCCUCAUCAACCUCAGAUCAACAAAUAAGAGCAAGUAGAUCAAAUUCCACAUAAGAAGGGUAAACCGAUACAAUCCACACAUCACAGACAAAGAUAAGGCAAAUGCGAUGCAAAAUGCAAUAAUGAUGUCAUGUAGUCGUGAUGCAUGUCUGUCCUACGAUACACAUCUGUUGACGUAAUCAGUCCGCGCUGAAUACUCAAAUCAGAACCCAUGGGGGCCACACAUGGACCAUGUAUCACCGCCGGAACCAGAUCCCAUCGGCAUCCAAAUCGCUAGUCGGAGCUAGUCCAUCUCAUAUAUCUCUAGCCGGAACUAGUCUCAACUGUGUCUCAUAUCCAUCCAUCAUCAUAUCAGUGUCUCAGAACUCAUGCAACAGAUAGUUCACACAUGUGAUGAAUAAUGAAUAUGCACAUAUCAUCAAUCACAAUCAUAUCACGAUCACAUCAUAAUAUUGUUGACACCCAAUUUUGACCCUCCCCGAUAAUAAUUAACUUCUGAGCUUCUUAAUUUUCAAACGAUUUAAAAUGAUUAGAUUUAUAAAAUUCAAACAGUUUCAAGAUUAGUUUAAAUAAUUUCAGUUGAUUUUUAUAGUUUUGAAUAAUGAAUAUGUUUCAUAUAAUUAUAUACAUAAUUAGUAUAUUUUACAAAUGUUUGAAAAUCAUAUCAAAGAUUUUACUUUGUUAAAAUAAAUAUUUUAUUAAUUUAGUUUUUAGUUCGAAUUAUAGUUUUAAUCUUGGAUUAAUUAGUUCAUAUAUAAAUCGAUUAGUUUAUAAUUAAGUUAAUUAUUUUAUUUCGUUAAAAUUAAAGAGCUCAUAAAUUAAUUAUAUUAAUCCGUACCUCUUGAAUUCUAGCCGAACUUAUCCUACUCAACUAAAUUUGGAUACGUCUUUAAGCUCCACUUGGUUAUGACUUAGAUUUGUAUGGCUAACUUAAAUUCAAUUUUAUCUUGAUUAAUUUUUUUAAAACACCAAAAUUUUGGGCUUUUUUCCAUUCCCUUAAAAUGACCCAAAUGCUCAACCCAUUUCCCAUUCUGGUUCCAAUUCAUUUCCUCCAACAACCUAUUGUCUUCCAAUUCCCUUACAAUUCCCACCGACCCAACACAUUAUUUGAGCAGCCCAUCAAAUUAUGACCCAACCCGGCCCAUUCAUCUAUUCUCAAAAGAAUCCAUCAACCUUUAACAACAGUCCAAACACGUUCACUGAAGCAAACGGAAAAGCAGCGAGGAACAGAGACGUACGCUGCGAAUUCUGUUUCUUCUCCAAUGUCCUUAUCGACAUUUAAUAUCGUAACAACAAAAGGGAGCACGCGUUUCUCCCCUUUCCCUUUUCGGAAUGAGUUGAAAAUUGCAAAGAAAGGGGUGUCUGGCCGAAAAUGGUGAAAGUUUUUUAGAUUUUGAAAUUUGAAUGGACCCUUGAAUCUAAAAGGGGACCCGAAAUUCCCCCCAUAUCAACCCUAAUAGUCCCCUAUAUAUAUUUUCUUCUUACUCACAUGAGGGGGGAUUUUUUGGAGUUUGAAAAGUUUAUGUUGAAGAAAAUGUUGAGAGAAGCUUGGAAAAACAGAGGGGAAGAAAGUUUCAAAAAAUAAAUAAAUAUAAAUACAAGAAUACAUACAAGGAAAAAUCAGUAGUUAUACUCAAGCUAGAAUCGAUAAAAGAUUUUCUUUUGUGCUUGCCAUUGGAAAAACUUGUCGGAAUCUCGUCGUGGUAGUGAAGUCGCCGUCCCUCUGCUCGCUCUGUCUCGGUUCACUGCCCUCAUAAAGUUUUGUUCUUUUCUAUGUAUGAACCGGCUCCUCCCGAGUCUAUUUUGGACUCCACCCCUACAUAUCCGAGUUGAUUUCCCAUCGAGUCAACCCCCUUUCGAGCUAAAGAAUUGACGAACAGGUCCCGAGAAUUGAAAGAAGCAACAGAUCGAGAAAAUCGAAAAUUUGGGCCAAGGGCCCAUUCUUAAUUCAAAAAAUUGUAUUUUUGGGCCUAAGCCCACUUAUUAGCUAUUUUAUGUUAGCUUAGGAUAGGUACAGGUGAUUCAAAUGAGCCAAAAGCUCAAAACGAAAAAGGGCCCAAAUACUGGCCCAGGCGGACAGAAACCAGAUUUGGGCCCAACUCUCUAUCCCUCUCUACUUUACCGUGUUCAUUUUACUUGUUAGUAUUUGCCGCUAAUUUUAAGGUUGAACAAUUCGAAUCCCCGAAAGAUACCCAUUUCGAAUUAAUUACUUAACUAAAUUACUCAUCUUUCACUUGACUUAAAAAAUAAAUAAAUGAUAAAUAAAUAAAUUUAUGAAAUGCUUCACUUAGAUAAUAUUUCAUUAUUUUUCUAUUAAAAUGGUUUCAACUAUAAAGUAGUUCACUUUUGCAAUUCAAGAUAAGUUAAAAUAUUUUAGCCAAAUAAUUAAUUGUCGGAUAACCGCGUAUUAGCGGACAUUCUGGGGUGCUUUUAAAAAACCUUCCUAGAAUGUUAAUAAGAACCUCGAACCCUUUUUAAGUUUUCAAUAGAUUUACUGUUUUAGUCUUUUGAAAACAACAGUUUUCUUGAUUUUUCUUAAAAAUUAAGUGGCGACUCUUAAACCAGUCCAAAUAAUAUUUUAAAUAAAACAAAUAUUACACAUCAUCUGUCUCAAUCACAACCAUAUCACGACCACAUCAUAGUAUUACACAUCAUCUGUCUCAACAUCAAUGUAUGUAUCAAUCAUAGCCUACUCAUGCUCUUCUAUCCCCUCAAUAUCAGUUAUCACAUGACUUAUUCAACAAAUUCAAGUCACAUAUAACACAUUUAGCUCGUUUUAUUUCCCCAUCUUUCAUUUACAACAAUUUCAAUCAACAAAUAAAACUCAUCCUCAAUCCCCAUUACUCCCCAACACAAUUAGGAAAGUAGUCAUGCGUAGUCUAAGAGUUUUACAAAGUUUGGAAGCCACUUGCCUUAAAACGAACUCCAAAAGUUACUUGACUUGAGCCCUUUCCUUUCCGAGUAUAAUCCGGAUCACGAUAAUCUAUUCAAACAAUUAUUCACAAUCACAAUUCGAGUCCAAUAUAAAUGGAAUCCCACAAUCAAUACGAAUCUAACAACACCAAUAUCGUGAAAUUUGGAGAACAAGGGUAAAAUGGUCAAAAAUCUCGUUCCGGAAAAUAUUCUCGAAAUCUGGAAAUUUUUAGUGAAAAAUGUUCCCCAAGAAAUUUAGAAUCCAAUAGUGAAAACCGUUUCGAAAAAGGAGUUGAAAUUAAUUCACAAACUCAAUUUGAAAGAAAAUCCACGUUCUUGAAGAAGCCUAAAAUAUUCAGAUCCGAAACUCCAACCCGAAAAUGAAAUAUCUCUUAAAAAACAUCUUACUCAUGCUUAGAUAAGUUCAAAUAUGAAAUUUCAUCAAAAAACGGAGUUAAGAUCGACCUUGAAAUUCUCAAUUUAUCAAACUUUAACUUUACCGGAAAGUCCAAAUUGUACGCGUUUAAUAUGAUGAAAAUAAUCGAUGAAUCAAUAAUUUUUAUGUUAAAAUCAGUUUUACCCAUAACAUAAGGAUCGUAAAUAUAUCUUUUUUAUCAAAAAGGGAGUCCAAAUCGAUAAAACCCCAAUUUUUCCCAAGAGAUUUACGGAUAGGAAAAAAAACCAGAUAAAGAAAUUAUGAGAAAAUGUCGAAUUGAAGAUUGAAUACUAACUCUCAUAUUAAUUCAAGAAGAAACCCGUAAGAAUCAUUCCAUUCCGAUCUCUAGAACUCCAGAUAUGCUCAAAAUACCAAAUGAACACAGUCUGAGAUUUUUAUAACAGUACAUGGCUGUUAUGCACCAGAAAAACAGCAGUUAAUCUUUCACUAAAAAGGCCGUAAUUUCCUCAUACGAUAGUGAAAUGACCCGAUUCUUUUUUAUAAAUGUCUUAAAUAAUGAUACGGACCUGCUCGUUCAAUCGGAGCUCAAUUUCAUGCUCGUUUGCCCAGUCAAAUAUCAUUUCUACUCGGUAAACAAUUAUUUCUUAUUUGCGAUAAAAAUCCAAUCUCGGGUUAGCGAAAAUGCACCAAAAUUUGCAGAUAAGUCCUAUAAUUCAUGAUCAAAAUUUCAGAACCUUCAGAAAUUUUUUUCGACCUUUAAAACUAAUAAUGAACCCUUUAGUUGCCACAAUUUGCUGAAAUAGUGUCAAAGCAUCCAAGAAGCUUAAAAGCUCACCCAAAACUCAUUUGGCACUUCCCGAACACAAACCAAAUAUGCUACUAGCUUGAAAAUGACAUUUCGGACUCAAUGAAAUCGUCGGAAUUUGAAUUCGAGGUCUCCUUGACCCGGUAUCCGAUAAGGCGUCAAGAAACUAACUUUAGGCUCAAAAACUCGAAACGCACUCGGGGCCUCUAAAAAUUCAACCAAGACUCAUUCUAGACUUAGAAUCACCCCCUGAAUCCAACGGUGCCCUCGGAAUUCCAUUUCGAGCACCGGAACCUCGUUUGUUGACCAAAGUCAACUCUUGAUCAAAAUUUCACAAUUUUAGCAACUUAGGACCUCAAAUCUUCGUUUUAACUCCAAAUUCGACUCAGUAAAUUCUCAUAGACCCAUUUCAACAUUCUAAAAUUGCUGGAAUCGACGGAAAUCCGAUUCGAGUCUCGAAACUCCAAAUGACUCGAAAUAGCACUUUUAACCAAACUUUAACUCUUAAAAACUCAACUUUCCAAAAACUCAACUUUUCAUCAAUUUUCCUUCAAACCAACUUCAAAAAUACAACAAUUAGGACUCGGGGCAACUAUCGGGAGGGGUAAAACGGUCAUUUUAUGAAAAUUUCCAAAAAUGACUUUUAGGGUCAUUACAAGGCUAACCUUAGACAAAAUCUUGGCUAAGUGGGGUGUUGGUCAUAUGAGGAUGAGUGGGGUGUAAUGUCUAGGCGGCAUGUGUUGAAGCAGUAAUUUUUCCAUUUUCGUUACUCAGGUAUGACAAAAUUCAUAAAGGUAGCACAAGUGAAGAUGAAACUGGAUCACGAUUAGGAAAUGCAGCUACCAAGUAUGUUGUAAUUGAAGAAAUGGAAGAUCAAGACCAUGGUCCUUGAGGUUUUACAUAUGACAUUCUAACAAUGUUGCGCUCUGAUGGCGUUUUGUAUUUGCAACGGAAGGAAAUGGACAAAAAAAUGCGUAGAUUUUCUAGCAAAUGAAGUUCAAGUCGUAUACAUGAAGAAGAUUUGUUAAUCAAGGAAGAUGAGGAAGCUGAGUUUUUUCACCUAGUAAACUUUAAGACAUGUGGCUUAUAGAAGGGAAAUUUAUUACUCCCUAUGUGCUAAAAAAGUAAUGAUAUACAUUUUUAUAGUUAGUAAAAAUUUAACUUUUAAACUUCUCAUUUUACCCCUAAAGUUAGGGGUGAAAGUUUGGUAUUCAGUUCAAGAUUUCCAAAUUUUGAGUUCGAUAGUUAAAAAUAGAUUCAAUUCAGUAUGGUAUUCAGUAAUACCGUAUUAAAGUUGUAGGAUUUGGAAAAGAAUGAUCACAAAUCUUUCUACUUUUUGUUUGUUAAAAUCAUGUCCUUUUCUGACUAAGUUAAAGAAAAAGAGAAAUUGGUCUCUUCUUUUGUUUAGAUGAUAAUGUUAGUGGAAUGUGAGACAAAAUUAUAUGAAUUAAAGUUUGAUUUCGAUAUGUAAUCCGAUUGAUUUGAUGUUAUUUUUAUUCUUUAUUUGAUUUCAAGUAUGCAUAAAAACAAUGUAACGUAUAUUUUACAUCCACACAAAUAUCUAUACAUAUUUUUAGUUUAAGAUUACAAAAAUUUUAAAAGUCGUCUAUACUUUCAUAAAAUUAAUAUCCCAUGAAACUAAGAUACACAAACUAAAACUAGCGGAGUAACUUAGUACUAAUUCGAUUUGCUUCAUACAUUGUUUUAGUACUAGACAUAUAAGCUCGUAGCUAACACAGACUCAAUAACAUACAUAGAAUUUGGAAAGACAAAUAAUUAUUAACACGAUUAUUAUUAAUUUACGAGACUUUUACGAUAAUUUUUUUCUAUUCAAAUUUAUGUGAUACAAAUUAAUUUUCGUGUGUAUUAUCCCAUGAAUUUGGCGCCUCGGAGCACCCAAAAACAUUUUUUGAAAAAUCUUUAUGAGGACCUCUGUAAUGAGUUGGGAACCAUCGCUUAUACUCACACUAUUUUUCUUAACGCUUAUUUCCGGAUUUACUGACCCUUUUUUAGGAAUUACGUAAAAAAAUUCAAUUUUUGGGUGUAUUAGCCUAUGGAUCUGGCGCAUUAGAGCACCCAAUUUUUUUUUCUGAAAAAAACUUUAUGAGUAAUUAUGUAAUGAGUUAGAGAUCACCACGUAUACUCACACCAAUUUUAACGACUAUUUCCGCAUUUAUAGAUUUUUUUUUUAGAAAUUACACAAAAUUCUUGAUUGUUCGUGUGUAUUAGCCCAUGAAUCUGGCGACUCAGAGCACCCAAAAUUAUUUUCUAAAAAACUUUAUGAGAACCUCUGUAGUGAGUAAGGGAACCACCAUAUAUACCCACACCAUUUUUAAUAGCUAUUUUCGCAUUUAUAGGCCAUUUUUUUAUGAAUUAUGCAAAUUCCUUGAUUUUUCGUGUGUAUUAGCCCUUGAAUCUAGCGCCUCAGAGCACCCGAAUUUUUUUUAUGAAAAAACAUUAUGAGGACUUCCGUAAUGAGUUAGGGAACCACCAUAUAUACUCAUGCAAUUUUUUAAUGCCUAUUUCUGCACUUACAGACCUUUUUUUUAGGAAUUAUGCAAAUUACUCAAUUUUUAAUGUGUAUUAACCCAUGAAUAUAUUGGUGAUAUGGCUUUCAGACGAAUUUUUUGUAAAACUCUUUAUGGAACCCUUCAAAGGGAGUUGGGGGAGCAGUACGUACAAUUUUACCAUUUUUAGAGUGAUUUAUGGGCAUAAGGAGUCAAUUUACAUUAGUUAGGCGAUUUUCUCAAUUUUUCAUGUGUAUUAUGUAACAUCCGGCAAUUUGAAAUAGCUAAGAAGAGGCUUAGAAUUUGAAAAUUUUCAAUUUUUGGAAAGGAUUUGAAAAUCUAGAAAAUUUGGCUAAGUAUGGAAAUCAGUGAUUUUUGGCCAACUUUGAGCAGUCAUAACUUCUAACUCAGGAUGAGUUAGGAGUAGUUCCAGUUAUGGUUGUGAAUCUUGUGGAAUGAUCUUUCCAACGCCACCGAGUUUGCUCAAUUCCGAGUUCGUAUGAGCGAGUUAUGGCCUUUGAAAGUUGGGCAGUUGACAAGGAAAUCCGUCCGGGAAUCAUUAAGGGCAUUUUGGUCUUUUCCCUAGCUAUUUCUUUUGAGGAUGUAUUGUUGUAUAGGGCUGAUCUUUGGAUCAUUUUGUUCCAUUUUUAAGAGAGUGAAGGCUAGGGCUUGAGAGUGAAGAAGAGAAGAAGANNNNNNNNNNNNNNNNNNNNNNNNNNNNNNNNNNNNNNNNNNNNNNNNNNNNNNNNNNNNNNNNNNNNNNNNNNNNNNNNNNNNNNNNNNNNNNNNNNNNNNNNNNNNNNNNNNNNNNNNNNNNNNNNNNNNNNNNNNNNNNNNNNNNNNNNNNNNNNNNNNNNNNNNNNNNNNNNNNNNNNNNNNNNNNNNNNNNNNNNNNNNNNNNNNNNNNNNNNNNNNNNNNNNNNNNNNNNNNNNNNNNNNNNNNNNNNNNNNNNNNNNNNNNNNNNNNNNNNNNNNNNNNNNNNNNNNNNNNNNNNNNNNNNNNNNNNNNNNNNNNNNNNNNNNNNNNNNNNNNNNNNNNNNNNNNNNNNNNNNNNNNNNNNNNNNNNNNNNNNNNNNNNNNNNNNNNUUGCCUACUGAUCUACGGUCAUGACUUACGGACCGUGAAUGGACCUACGGUCUGUAGAUCACUUCCGUCAAGGCCAUGUUUCUGCAUUUCUUAUUGUACCUAUGUUUCCAAGUUGUCUCCAACACUUCAAGUUGCAUCUAAAUGUUUAGAACUCAUUCAUAACAGGUGAUUAUAUCCCUUGAAUCCAUAAUUCAAUUCAAGGCGAGUUAGAAUCGAGUUAAAGAGAAGUUAGAGUCAAGUCAAGCAAGGUUAAGAAGUUAGUUCAAGCAAGUUUUCAAAGUUGUUCGAGAGUCUUUAAUGAACGUUUUUACUUCAUUCUAAGGCUCAAGUUGCAGGUCAAGUAAAGAGUUUAAAGUUGAGUUCAUUUCUCAAAGUUAUUAGGGAACUAUGUAUUCCCAAAGCAGUUUUUAAGGAAAUGUUUUUACAUUUAAACAAGGUUGGAAACUGAGAUUUCCAAAGGGGCCUUCGGGCCAGUUUUUCAGAAAAGAGUUAUCAUUUCCUAAAUGAAGCAAGGUUGGAAACUGAGAUUUCCAAAAGAGCCUUCAGGCAAGUUUUUGAGUAAUUAUCUCAUAUCAGCAGGAAGAAAUAUGUUUUAAAAACAUAAGAGCUAGUACAUUUUUGGGAGUAGUAUCGAGCACCGAAAAUCGUUUCAAAAGAUUUUAGUUUUACUUAAAUAUUUUAUUAAGUUAAUUAGUAGUUUAUAUUUUGAAUCAUUAGUUUAUUAAGUUAAUUAUUUUAUUUCAUUAAGAUUAAGAAGCUCCUUAAUUAAUUUAUGAAAAUUCAUCUUGUUUAAGUAUUGAUCAAAUCCACCGACUAAAUGCUAAUCGAAAUUCAAUUGAUUAAUAUGGCAAUUUUAGUCAAUUUCUUCAACCCUUUGCAAGACCCAAUUAUCUUAAACCCUUUUAGCCAAACUUUUGACCCAAUAUUAGAAGCCCACCCUUUUCAUUCUUCUGACCCAAGCCCAAAACCCACUUCUUCUUUUCUCAAAAGAACCCAACGUGAACAACAGCAUACCAAAUUGACCCGACCCCCAACACAGCUGCUCGUUCUUCUUCAACAAUACACGUCAAAUUCCAACGAUUUAAUUCACGGAGUCAAGCGGAGGCAGACGGAAAAGCAGUAAAGCAGGCAGUGCUCUGCAUUUUUCUUGUCUUCUUCCUCAAUGUCCCUUUCCAAUUUGUACCUGCAGCAGCAAAAGCACCUGCGAUUUUGUCCUUCCAGCCGCGUCUCAGUCCUUGGGGAUGUGGGAUCGAUCCACGUCGCGCCUAAGGAUGAGUUGAAUUGAUCAAGUCCGCCCGUCUACCCUUUCCCCUUUCGGAAUGGGUCAAAUUUUGGAGAAAAAGGUUGUCUCCCUGAAAGGGGUGAACGAUUUUGAAUUCAAAUUGGAGUUGGGCUUUGUCUAUUCGAAUUUUUUUGAUCUGUUUCCCUCAUUUUUCUGAACCCUAAUUUCCCCCACUAUAUAAACCCCAUUUUUAUUCACUAUCGGGUUUCUCUUUUUUUAGAGGAAUUUUUGGGGCAAAAACACGAAGAGUAAGUUAAGAAAAUAGCUAAAAUACAUACAUGUAUAUACAGAAACACAGUCAAGGCCAAGAGGAUUGAGUUUCGAUAGGAGUAUCGCGUUACUACUUCGUUUUGCAUCGGUUUUCUCAAGCUUCACUCGAGUCUGAGGUUCUGCCCGGAAUUCUCGUCCGUCGUUCGUGUUCGAGUCUCGUGGUGAAGAUCGUUUCCUUGCUCGUUUGUAUCCCAGUUGCUGCUCAUCAAAAGGUAUACAACUCUCAAUUCUCGCAUUUGUUUAGAUUCCAAUAGAUGUUUGAGAUCUGAGUUGUAUUAUGUAUUGGUGUGAUUCGAUUGUUUGUGUAUAAAUGAUAAAAGGUUAAUUCUUUGUUGGUGGUGGUUCUCGUUUUGUUUUAUUCUUGACUCUCAUAGCUUUUCAAAACACUCCUUUCACAGUUUAUUCUCUCAAAAUGUAAGACAUUUAAGUAUUGGGGUUUUAAGAAUAUUAAGAGCGACUGGAAAUUUUGAAUCUCUUGAAAUAGCGAGAAUUUGACUUCGGUACUUCGUGUGGAGUUUGGUAUCUCCUUCACGUCUUGUUUGAUUCCGAGUGGUAUGAAAUGAGCACUUUGUUGAUCUCUAUGGCUUCAUCCUUACGUUAUCCUUUAUUUCGAUUUCCGUACCUUUGUUCGAAAGUCUGUUUGGUUUAAAUUUCUAACCGAUCAUCAUGUUAUUGAUUUCACUGUCUUGGUUAAAUGUAUAAAUCCGAUUUAUAGCUUUUUUUUUAGCCUAGUUUUCGUAUUGUUUUGAAUCAUAUGAUUGUCUUGUUGUAAUUAGUAUGCCUAAUACGUCUUCAAGCAUGAGAUGCUCUCUUUCUAGUUUGUCAUUGUUAGUGUAGUUGCGUUUUCAUUCUGAUGGCUUGGCUUCCUCUGUUUAUUGGAUCCCUUUGUUGCCUUACUGCUUUAGCGAUAUGUUAGACCCGCUUCCGUGCUUUCGUUUUACUUAUUUUUUUUGAUGCAAAAUUUGCAGUUGAGUUUUAAAAUGUAAGAUUUCCGCUAAUGAUUCAGAUUUUCAUGACUAUCUGUGUUGCAUUGAAUCCAAUGAUACCAUUCCCAACUAAAUAACAAAAAUGAAUAUGUUUGUAUGUUUGGUAUUUAUUAUUAUUAUUAUUAUUAUUAUUAUUAUUAUUAUUAUUAUUAUUAUUAUUAUUAUUAUUAUUAUUAUUAUUAUUAUUAUUAUUAUUAUUAUUAUUAUUAUUAUUAUUAUUAUUAUUAUUAUUAUUAUUAUUAUUAUUAUUAUUAUUAUUAUUAUUAUUAUUAUUAUUAUUAUUAUUAUUAUUAUUAUUAUUAUUAUUAUUAUUAUUAUUAUUAUUAUUAUUAUUAUUAUUAUUAUUAUUAUUAUUUUUACUUAAAAUUGGUCUAAGUGUUUUUUUUUAUUCAAAAUCGGGGGGGCAUUUGUUAAUUAUGGUUUAUCCAUUUUUGCUUAAAAAUAAUAAUAAAAAAAUAUGUAUGGAAUUCUCAAGCGGUAUAUUAAAAGGCUUAAGUCGGUAGCAUCUCAUCUCCUCAUUUGAUCUUACGUCAUUAUUAUUAUUCUUGGUUUCAUGUGAUAUGUCUUUAGAUAAUAUUUAGGAGUUACUUGUUAUGCAUUAAUUUUUAUUUUUAUUUUUAUCUCAUUUGUUUUUACUUGUCAUAUCAUUCUAUCUAGUUUAUACAUAUAAAUGAUAAUUAUAGGAAUCCUUUGUUGACUCCCUAUUAUUUGAUUUUCCUUAUAGAAUAGCUACAAUAUUGGUAAUUAAGUUAUGUUAGUUUGAUCACUGUAGUGUUAAACUUGCUAAGUCAUUUAUCUCUUAGUCUUAUUGGUUUAAAAUAUAGUAUUAAUCUCAUUUGAUAACAGUUUCUAUGUGUACUCCAGAGUUCUGCCUUAAGUGCUUAACAUUUGUUCGCUGCCUGCAUUCUCAACAAUUCAUUUAAUCAAUGUCAAUUUAAAGGUAUAUGCAUGAAAAUGGAGAGUGGACCGAGGUCAAACUAGAAUUUGUUCACGAUUCGCAUAUCACAUUUCUUUGUUUAUAUCCUAGUAGUAUUUGUGAAUGUGUAUCAGAAUAACUUUAUCCAUUUUUCUCAUUGUAGCUAGCGACGAGUAGUGAUUAUUAGAUUAGUCCUUAAUAUCUUAUUAUGAUUUUGUCGUAUUGAGUUGUUAGUCGCCUUAAUGUUGUUCAUUUUUUAGAAAAUGUGUUAGAAUUUUCUCGUCCCAUGCUAAUAUGAUUUUAUUUGUCUUUGUAUGUGAAAUCCGCCCGAGUUCGCCAUGAACUCUUAUCUUCCCUAUUGCAUUUCGGGAGGGCCGCGAAGGCUCAAGUCUUUUUUUUUUACAUAUCCGAGUCAGCCAGAUCUUAAAAUCGACGAACAGGUCUCGAAAUUGAAAGAAAAGCGGACCAAAUCGGGAGUUGAAAAAGAUUGGGCCAAAGCCUACCUUUAUUUAUUCGGAAUUGUAUUUUGUUAUUAUUGGGCCUAAGUCCUUGCCAUUUUACUUACUAUUACUUGUUAGUUCCUAGGACAGGUGGAGAAAUUGGGCUUAAGGUCCAAAAGAAAGAUAUUUAUUUCAUGUCAGACUAGGACAGGUGCAGGUGACUCAAAUGGGCCGAAAAGCCCAAAACGAAAGUGGGCCCCAAAAUAUUGGCCCAGGCGGACAGAAAAACCAAUUUGGGCCCGAAUCUCCCUCUCUCCUUAUUAUAUAUUUCGUGUUAAUUUUAUUGUUAGUACAUGCUUAUUUGCUAAUUAAUUUUAAGGUUCUUAACUCAUAAUUCCCCAAAGGACACCCAUUUUAAGUUAGCUAACUUAUAGUACUUUAUCUUAAAAUAACUAAGUAUACUUGUCUUUUUUCUAAAUUAAUUUCUAAAAAAAUUAGAAGCUUUUCUCUACUUGGACAUUUUAGAUAAUAUAUUCCCUUUUCCUCUUUAAAUGAUUUUAAGUUAUAAAAUUCGUUCAUUCGGUAACUAGUCAAGCAUGCCCAUUGUUAGCCAAAUAUUUUAAUUGUUGGAUAACCGCAAGUUAGCGGACAUUUUGGGUGUUUUCAAACCCUUCCCGAAAUGUUAAUAAGAACCCCGAACCCCCUUAAUAGUUUUCAAUAGAUUUACUGUUUUGAUCUAUUUGAAAAUGAAUAGUUUUCUUGAUUUUUCUUAAAAAUUAAGUGGCGACUCUUAAACCAGUCAAAAUACAUUUUUAAAUAAAACAGUUAGAGAUUCAUAUGCCAGUAGAAAAUGUGGAGAACUUUUCUAUUUUAUUUCGUAAAAUGUUGGCCUAAUAUGAAUUGAGAUGGGGAACAUGACCAAUGAGGACUGAGACGUAGUAGUUAUUGUUGUUGUUGUAUAUUGAAGCUUCAGAAAUAUUUUUUUCAUGUUCAUACAUUUACUUCAGGCCGAUGCUUUCUAGGAGGUUUGUAGGACUAUAUGAUAGAGUUUCUUAUGCCAGUAGGAAAUAUAGAGAACUUCUAGUACUUUUCAUGAUUAUGUUUAUUUCGUAAAGUGUUGUCCUGAGGUGAAUUUAAGUGGGGAACUUGGUCACAUAUAGACGAUCCCAGCUUAUUUUAGACUGAGACGUAAUUGUUGUUGUUUAUUGAAGCUUAAAGGAUGUGUUUGCUCUUCUCAUGUGUUGACAUGGGGAAUAGGUACAAUAAAAGUCUUCUUGGGGAUAAACUAGGGAAGUUCCCUGUGCCUUUACUGAUAAACACUGUGCACUUUGCGAUGCAAGCUGUUUUGUCCAAGGCCAUUACCGGGUUUUGGCAUCAACGAUUUCAACCUACAGUGAUGAUGUCUUGGAGAGACUAUUCUUUGAAAGGUAACGUUAAGACUAAUAAUUCCCUUUUUUCUUUGGUUUCGAUUGAGUAGAAAACUAAAAGUAUUUGAAAGGCAUAUGAUAUUAUAGAGCAGGAAAUAUGUGUAUAAUGUGUUUAUGCACUUGUCCAGUGGAUUUGUUUACGAAACAUAGGAAGAUGAGAGUAGGAUUAUUAACGAGCUUGAAUGUAUGUGCAUCUUAUGAGUUGACAGCUUCAAUUAGCUAUAGUUUGUGACUUAGUUAAGCCCACAUGUUACACUUAUUGGCUUAUUACUGAUAUAUCGACAAUGGUUUCAAAUGAACUUUUAUGUACACAAAUAGAGGCAGUUCCUGUUACGUACGAGAAUCUCAAUUUUUAUCCAAGUUAGUUCUUCAUGAGUUCAAGACAUAUAAUCUCUUAUGUCUUUCAUUUCUAACCUUUAUGUAGGAAUCUUUUUCCACGACUAAUACUAUAGACGGCCUUUGCCUUUCACAGUUGUACCGACAGCUCUUACAACAGCAAUGGAUGUGAACCUCAGCAAUGCAUCCCUUGUUUUCAUCUCAGUCACAUUUGCCACUAUGGUGUGCAUCAUACAGUUUGUGUCAAUACUGAUAGACUGCAAAUUUUUCUUCAAAAAUUGAGCUCUGAGAAAGCAUGUUUGUUAAACUCACGCCCUUAAUAUUCGUCGAGGGCUCUAAUAUUUGCAUUUAUGUACCUUGAAAUUUAGCAGUCACAACUCUCUGCCACUAAAGUAAGUGUGAUUGUCGAAGCCUUCAAGGGCCACUCAAAUAAUCGUCUAAUAUCAAUAAGAAUAACAGAUUUCUUACUUUGUUUUCUCCUUCCUUAUUCUGAUACGAACUCUCUGCCCAUCUUUCUCCUAUUCUUCGCAUUUGCUUUCAGGUACUACUUUUAACCACUGAUCUCUUAUGUUUAAUUGUGAUUUUUUAUGGGGGGUAGCGGGCCAGAAGCAUCGAAUUUCUACUUGAUCCUCUGUUAUAGAUGUACAUCCAACAAUAUUAUUCAUAAAUGCAACUUUUUUUUCCAUAUUGAGGACUUAAUAGAAUGUGAUUGUUAAUUCGUUAUGGACUAAAAACCUGAAAGCGUCUAUGAAAUAACUAUCUUUGAUGAAUACGAUACAUUUGACGGGGCUCAUAUCUAAGCUGAAUACAUGGCCUCAAUUAUUUGUGUAAGGUUGGAGUCUCCAAAUGUAAAGCUGCUGGGGAUCAUCUUGGUCAUUUCUUGUAUUAUUUAUUCUCAUAUAUGAAGAAGUAUUCAUAAUUUUCAUCUUCAUCUGUCAUUCAUAAAUCAUAUCUGUAACCUUCACUUGUACACCAGAUAAAACGUUUACUUUAUCGUACAAUAUUUUCUCGUUUCACAACUAUCAUUGACAAUUUGGAUAAACUUAGGUAAUCUUCUUAAUGAGUGUUUUCGUAAGCUUUAUCGCCUUGUUGAUAACUGUGUCAUUUGUUAAUUUACAUCCGUUUGGUAGAUAAGUCUGACUCCAUUUUCUGAUAAUGCAGUUGCAAAGGAGACAGAAUUUGAGUUUUGGGAUUUGUCUUUGUUAUGCUUGCUGCAGUUAUGUCUGGAUUUCGCUGGACUAUGACUCAGAUUCUUCUGCAGGUUGGAUUUUGUGACAUUCGUUGCAUUGUUAUAAUUUAUUUCUCGUUCCGUUGUUUUGUCAAUAGUAUGUUUGCUUACUUUGUGUAUUUUUCUGUUUGUUUUCCCAUAUCCAACUGGUUGUGCUGAACAUAAAACUGGCAUAAAGAAAGAAGCCUAUGGUAAUGACUAUGAACAACUCUUAGCAAAUUUUAAAUAUUCUGGAAAUGUUAUUAUCACCAUCAUUAUUAUUAGCAGUCGUAGCAGCAGCGACUGCACCACUACUUAGACUACAUCAAAUCUGAUCUUGUUUUAAAAGGGCAGUUCGAUGCACGAAGCAUCUCACAUUCACGCAGGGUCCAAGGUAGGGCCACACCUCAAGAGAGCAUGAUGUAGGCAGCCUACCCUGAUACAAAUCAGCGGCUAAUUCCAUAGCUCAAACCCUGCUUUGUCUUAGUCCUAGUUUUGACCAAAUUAAUAUGUUGAUUUGUUAUUUGUUUUAUAGUUUGUGAAUAAAUUGUGUAAUGAAAUGCAUGCUUUGGUUAUUGCAGGUUUAAAAAAUCCACUCACACUAAUGAGCUAUGUUACUCCGGUAAUGACUCUUUCAACUGCUGUGUUGUCCCUUAUUUUUGAUCCGUGGCACGAAUUCAGACACACCAAUUACUUUGAUACGUCAUGGCAUAUAGCUAGAAGUUGUUUGUUGAUGCUUUUUGGCGGAACUUUGGCUUUCUUUAUGGUAUGUAUGUGUCCAAGCACUGGUAUCAGUUCAAUUUGUGGAUUUUCCAUCUCAUAGUGAAAAUGAAGCCUUCUAAUAGGCUUAGUUCGUUUAGAAAUGAUCUGAGUGUUCAACUGACACAGUGGAGACGAGUUGAUGUGUCUGAAUGUGCGUUCUCAAAGUUGGAGUGUUUAAACUGUUCCUAGCAGUUUAGUCGUCCUAAAUCAAAACGACUGUAUGUUUACUUAAGCUAUAGUAGUUCAAUCAAAUUGUUGAUAUCGAGCCCGUUUUAGUCAAAAAUGUGACUUUGGCAUGGUUUAAUGGCAUGUGUUGAAGUCGUAAUUUUUCCAUUUUCGCUACUCAUGUAUGAAAAAAUUCAUAAAGGUAGCACAAGUGAAGAUGAAACUGGAUCACCAUUAGGAAAUGCAGCUACCAAGUAUGUUAUACUUGAAGAAAUGGAAGAUCAAGACCAUGGUCCUUGAAGUAUUACAUAUGACAUUUCAACUACGCUGCACUCUGAUGGCGUUUUGUAUUUGCAACGGAAGGAAGGGGACGAAAAAAUGCAUAGAUUUUCUACCAAAUGAAGGUCAAUCGUAUACAUGAGGAAUAUUUCUUAAUCAAGGAAGUUGAGUUUUUUCACCUAGUAGACUAUAAGACAUGUUGCUUAUAGAAGAUAUUACGACUUGAAAAAGAAACUUACAAAAAUGUUACUAGUUAAGAACUAACUACUUAAAUACACUACAUUACAAUAUUCGGAAUUUUACCAUUUAGUGGCGACUUCCAAAAGUCGUUAAAUAACAUUUGAUUAUGGAUUCACAUGUAUCUAGGAUAUACAUUGAUUCUCUCGCUCGCAUCUCUCAUCUCUUGCUCCCCUUUCUUCCUUUCUCGCUCCCCUCUCUUCCUAUGUUAGGAAACCUUUAUGGAAUCCUCCGUUGGGAGUUGGGGGAGCAUUACGUACAAUCUCACAUUUUUUAGAGUGAACUUUGGGCAUUUAAAGACCAAGAUUUUCUUAAUUUUGUGUGUGUGUUAUUCCAUGAAUAAUUUGGUGAUAUGACUUCCGAACGAUUUUUUUUGUGAACCUUUAUGGUACCUUCCGUAGGGAGUUGGUGGAGCAUUACGUACAGUCUCACUAUUUUUAGAGUGAUAUGACGGAGAUAUAACUCCUAAUAGCCCAAAAUAUGUCUAAAAAAUGACAAGACUUCACAUAUUUCUCUCACAACUCUCUACAGAGGGUUCCGUAAUGACUUUGCACAAAAAUCAACCGUCAGUCACAUCACCAAAAUAUUCAUGAAUUAACUGUGUCCACACAAACCCAAUAGCAUAGAUGGAAUUUGGAAAGAUAAUUAUGUUGGGAUAUUUUCUUCCUGUGGUGCUCGCUGCAGCGUACAAUGAUGAGCUGUAUAUGUCUCCAUCUUUUUUCAUUCAUUUUUUUAAAUUUAAAAUGAUCGUUCCAUAGGUGUGAUAAGAUAUGAUAUAUUUUAAUUACACUUAAAGAUUAUGUCAUAAAUUGAGAUAUUUUAUGAGAUAAUUAAUUAUAUUACUAUGUAAAUGAAUAAUUUAUAUUUCAUCAUUAUAAAAUGGAAAAAUUCUUUUGGCCAGAAUGGUAAAAUAACAUAUUUCACACUAUGUUAUUUUAUCUUUUUGAACAUUUUUACCAUUUUAACUUUAAUACCAUUUAAUUAAAAAAAAUUUAAAAAAAUCAGUUUUUUUAAAAAUAAAAAGGAUAUUAUAGACUUUUGAAAAUUUCUAACCAAAUUCUGGCCAAAUUUUCCGGAUUUUGGUUGUAUGAUACUGAAUGUGAGACUGGAAUUGCUGUGCAAAUGGAUUUGGAGGAAAAGUACAUGGAUAAACUUGCAUGUGACCAAGAUAUCAUAGAUUUUGCUAAAUUUUAGGGUUUAAUUUUCAUGUUCUUUCAUUUAAUUUGUACUCCCUUCAUUUUAAUUUUCAUGUUCUUUCAUUUUCUAUGAACACGCUUUGACUAUAAUUAAGUAGCAUUUUAAGUUGUAGCAAGGAUUGUACUAAAAUAAAUAAUGUAAGAUUUUUGUUAGCAUUUUUGUUUACUUGUAGUAGCGAAUGUUCGCUACAAAAAAUCACUAUUUAGUGGCGACUUUCAAAAGUCGUUAAAUAACAUUUAGUUGUGGAUUCACAUGUAUCUAGGAUAUAUACACUGACUCUCUCGCUCGCAUCUCUCAUCUCUUGCUCCCCUUUCUUCCUCUCUCACUCCCCUCUCUUCCUAUGUUAGGAAACCUGUAUGGAAUCCUCCGUAGGGAGUUGGGGAGCAUUACGUACAAUUUCACAUUUUUUAGAGUGAACUUUAGGCAUUUAGAGACCAAUUUACAGGAAUUAUGUGAUUUUCUUAAUUUUUUGUGUGUGUUAUUCCAUGAAUAAUUUGGUGAUAUGACUUCCGAACGAUUUUUUUUGCGAACCUUUAUGGUACCCUCCUUAGGGAGUUGGUGGAACAGUACGUACAGUCUCACCAUUUUUAGAGUGAUAUGACGGAGAUAUAACUCCUAAUAGCCCAAAAUAUGUCUAAAAAAUGACAAGGCUUCACAUAUUUCUCUCACAACUCUCUACAGAGGGUUACGCAAUAGCUUUGCACAAAAAUCCACCGUCAAUCACAUCACUAAAAUAAUCAUGGGCUAACUGUGCCCACACAAACCCAAUAGCAUAGAUGGAAUUUGGAAAGAUAAUUAUGUUGGGAUAUUUUCUUCCUGUGGUGCUCGCUGCAGCGUAUAAUGAUGAGCUGUAUGUGUCUCCAUCCUUUUUUAUUCAUUUUUUUAUUUAUUUAAAAUGAUCAUUUGAUUGGUGUGAUAAGAUAUGAUAUAUUUUAAUUACACUUAAAGAUUAUGUCAUAAAUUGAGAUAUUUUAUGAGAUAAUUAAUUAUGUUAGUGAAAAACUUACAAGAUAACAAAAAAUACAAGAUUACAAUUGAAACUAAAAAUGAAGAAAUAAAUCUCUUCAGGAUGAGGCACGGAUAUCUCGCUCUCUUUAAGGAGAUUCAAGCCCACUGCAACAAAUGUUCUUGACUGAUCCAGCAGUAGUCCUCUUGACUAGCAAAGGUUUGAGUUUCAACACAUCUUUACCCUUUAGCUGGUCGAUUUGCUGAAGAUGAAUCGUCAAUUCUUUGUCUCGAUCAAGGUGUAACUUAUAUAAAAGCAACGGUCAAUUGUAAGCUUGAUGAUUUUCUUCAACAAGCAAACAAAGACGUUGAUCUAGCAUUGCCAUUUUGGCCUCAAGGAAUUAUGGAUGUGGACGAGACGAAUUUAUUCGUCAUGCCACUUCUGGUUGUGCAAGUCACAACAUUUGAAUGUUAAAGUGUUAAAGUGUGCCUUUAGUGUAUUUGUUUAUUUAGUUAUGCAUUAUUGUAAAUUAAUAAUUAUAUUAAAAAAUUAUAAACUAAUGACAUUCUGUUUUGCUAGAAACAGCAAGUACUAUCAUGUUAAUAAAACAAUGUAAUUAAUUGAAUAUAGUAUUUCGUGGGCAGGUGAUAAGUUAAAUGUAGAAAAGUUUGGUCACUUUAACAUUUUACUAUUUAUUUUAGACUGCUUUAAUAUAAUAUAUUAGGCUCUAUUAUACAUUAGAUGAGUAACAAUAAUAAUUAAAUUUCAUCUCAAUUAAGAAUGUGGUUCCACAUCUUUUUGAGAUACUUAAGAAACUCAAGGAUGCGGUUACGCACCUUGGCCAAAUUAUUUCAAUAAUUAAUUUUGUUAAUUCAAACCAAGAGAUGUAAUUUGAGAUUAUUAGAUGUGAUGAACUCGAGAGGGGAAGACGAUUAUGUCUCCAAAUGUCAAGAUCGAGAAUGCAGUUAUGCAUCCGGUUUAAGACUAAUAAAAAUUCAACAAUUAAAAAAUAAGCAAACCAUGACAUAUAUACACAAAUUAUCCAAAAACAUAUCAAGAUAAGUAUAAGUCAAUAAAAGAGACAGUGCUAGAACCACGAGAGUACUCGAGGGAUGCCUAAUACCUUCCCCUUGAUCAACAGAAUUCCUUACCUGAAUUUUUGGUUAGCAAACCAAACAAAGAGUCAUUUCCUUUUGAUUAGGGAUUAAAUAAAAGGUGACUUGGAACAUCAUAACUCAAUUCCAAGUGGCGACUCUGGAAAAAAUAAAAAAAAUAAAAAAUAAUAAUCUCUUAAUCAAUACGAACACUUAGAUUGAAAAAACCCUUUCCGCCGUGCGAAAAAAAGGGUGUGACAUCUCUAGCGACUCCGCUGGGGAUACUAACCAGAAUUCGAGCUUUGUUUUGUUGACUUUUAUUUUAUCUUAUUAUUUAUUUUUUUGGAUAAAUUGUGUGUGAUUGCCUAAUAUGAUACUUGUUGCUCUUUUAUCACUUUUUAUAUUGUUGAACUAUAAAUUGUCUUUCUUAGCGCAACCAUCUGAAUUGGCAUGAUUUAAUGGCACGUAUUGAAGACGUAAUUUUUUCAUUUUCGUUACUCAAGUAUGACAAAAUUCAUAAAAGUAGCACAAGUGAAGAUGAAACUGGAUCACCAUUAGGAAAUACAGCUACCAAGUAUGUUAUAAUUGAAGAAAUGGAAGAUCAAGACCAUGGUUCUUGAGGUUUUACAUAUGACAUUCUAACAAUGUUGCGCUCUGAUGGCGUUUUGUAUUUGCAACGGAAGGAAGGGGACGAAAAAAUGCGUAGAUUUUCUAGCAAAUGAAAGGUCAAGUUGUAUACAUGAAGAAGAUUUGUUAAUCAAGGAAGAUGAGGAAGUUGAGUUUUUUUCACCUAGUAAACUUUAAGACAUGUUGCUUAUAGAAGGGAAAUUUAUUACUCCCUAUGUGCUAAAAAAGUAAUGAUAUACAUUUUUAUACUUAGUAAAAAUUUAACUUUUAAACUUCUCGUUUUACCCCUAAAGUUAGUGGUGAAAGUUUGGUAUUCAGUUCGAGAUUUCCAAAUUUCGAGUUCAAUAGUUAAAAAUAAAUUCAAUUCAAUAUGGUAUUCAGUAAUACCGUAUUAAAGUUGUAGGAUUUGGAAAAGAAUGAUCACAAAUCUUUCUACUUUUUGUUUGUUAAAAUCAUGUCAUUUUUUCUGACUAAGUUAAAGAAAAAGAGAAAUUGGUUUCUUCUUUUGUUUAGAUGAUAAUGUUAGUGGACCUAGCUUGAAAUGUGAGACAAAAUUAUAUGAAUUGAAGUUUGAUUUCGAUAUGUAAUUCGACUGAUUUGAUGUUAUUUUUAUUCUUUAUUUGAUUUCAAGUAUGCAUAAAAAACAAAUGUAACGUAUAUUUACAUCCACACAAAUAUCUACACAUAUUUUUAGUUUAAGAUUACAAAAUUUUAAAAGUCGUCUAUACUUUCAUAAAUUAAUAUCCCAUGAAACUAAGAUACACAAACUAAAACUAGCGGAGUAACUUAGUACUAAUUCGAUUUGCUUCAUACAUUGUUUUAGUACUAGACAUAUAAGCUCGUGCUAACACAGACUCAAUAACAUACAUAGAAUUUGGAAAGACAAAUAAUUAUUAACAUGAUUAUUAUUAAUUUACGAGACUUUUACGAUAAUUUUUUUCUAUUCUAAUUUAUGUGAUACAAAUUAAUUUUCGUGUGUAUUAUUGCAUGGAUUUGGCGCCUCGGAGCACCCAAAAACAUAUUCUGAAAAAUCUUUAUAAGGACCUCUGUAAUGAGUUGGGAACCAUCACUUAUACUCACACUAUUUCUUAACGCUUAUUUAUGCAUUUACUGACCCUUUUUUAGGAAUUACGUAAAAAAAAUCAAUUUUUGGGUGUAUUAGCCUAUGAAUCUGGCGCAUUAGAGCACCCAAUUUUUUUUUCUGAAAAAACUUUAUGAGUAAUUCUAUAAUGAGUUGGAGAUCACCACGUAUACUCACAUCAUUUUUAACGACUAUUUCCACAUUUAUAGAUUCUUUUUUAGAAAUUAUGCAAAUUGCUCGAUUGUUCAUGUGUAUUAGCCCAUGAAUCUGGCGACUCGGAGCACCCAAAAUUGUUUUCUGAAAAAACUUUAUGAGAACCUCUGUAGUGAGUAAGGGAACCACCACAUAUACCCACACCAUUUUUAACAGCUAUUUUCGCAUUUACAGGCCAUUUUUUUAUGAAUUAUGCAAAUUCCUUGAUUUUUCGUGUGUAUUAGCCCUUGAAUCUAGCGCCUCAGAGCACCCGAAAAAAAUUUCUGAAAAAACUUUAUGAGGACUUUCGUAAUGAGUUAGGGAGCCACCACAUAUACUCAUGCAAUUUUUUUAAUGCCUGUUUUUGCACUUACAAGCCUUUUUUAGGAAUUAUGCAAAUUACUCGAUUUUUCGUGUGUAUUAACCCUGAAUAUAUUGGUGACAUGGCUUUCAGACGAAAUUUUUGCAAAACUCUUUACGGAACCCUUCAAAGGGAGUUGGGGGAGCAGUACGUACAAUUUUACCAUUUUUAGAGUGAUUUAUGGGCAUUAAGGAGUCAAUUUACAUUAUUUAGGCGAUUUUCUCAAUUUUUCAUGUGUGUUAGCCGAUUAAUAUUUUGGUGAUAUGACUUAUAGAUGAAUAUAUUACGAAACCUUUAUGGAAUUCUCUGUAGGGAGUUGGGGAAGCAUUGUGUACAGUCUCACCAUGUUUAGAGUGAACUUUUGGCAUUUAGAGGCCAAUUUAUAGUAAUUAUGUGAUUUUCUCUAUUUUUUGUGUGUGUAAUCCCAUGAAUAAUUUGGUGAUAUGAUUCUGAACGAAUUUUUUUCGUACCUUUAUGGUACCCUCCGUAGGGAGUUGGUGGGGCAGUACGUACAGUCUCACCAUUUUAGAGUGAUAUGGCGGAGAAAUAACUCCUAAUAACCCAAAAUAUAUCUGAAAAAUGGCGAGGAGACGUAUUGCUCUCCCAACUACCUACAGAGAGUUACGUAAUAAAUUUGCACAAAAAUCGAUCAUCAAUCACAUCACCAAAAUAUUCAUGAGAUAACUGUGCCAACACAAACCCAAUAGCAUAGAUGGAAUUUGGAAAGAUAAUUAUGUUGGGAUAUUUUCUUCCUGUGGUGCUCGCUGCAGCGUACAAUGAUGAGCUAUAUAUGUCUCCAUCUUUUUUAUUCUAUUUUUCAUUUAUUUAAAAUGAUCGUUCGGUAGGUGAUAUAAGAUAUGAUAUAUUUUAAUUAUAUUUAAGAUAAAAUUUAUUUCAUAAUUUGAGGUAUUUUAUGAGAUAAUUAAUUAUAGUACUAUGUAAAAGAAUAAUUUAUAUUUCAUCAUUAUAAAAUAUAUAAUUUCAGAACUAACUAAUACUCCUAAUUAUUUAUUCUGUAUUUUAUCUUAAUAUUGUUAUCUCUUUUUCUUUAAAUUCCAUAAGUUUUUCCUCUUCAAUUAUUAGGGAGCACGUUUAAAAGGCUUGCAAAACAUUGUUGUAAUUGGCUGGUAGAGUCGUGAGGAAACAACUAAGCAAAUGGAGAAACAAAAAUACUUUUUUCGUUCCAUUUUAAUUAACACAUUUUAUUUGAUACAAUAUUUAAAAAGGAAUGAGACAUAAGUACCUCCUAGACUAUUAUGAUCGAAAUCUCUGAGACACAUCUUAACUAAACUAAGAUCCUAUUAUCCGAACUGUUUUGUUUUUUUUUUGUAAUUUUUUACACCUUUUUGACUUACGUAGCAUCCAAACAUCUCUCACAUGCCUACAUGGAGUCAUGGAGUAUGCCACAUAAAUUAAUGGAUUAGUUCAAUUAUAUAUGCUUUUAUUUGAAGUUUAUUCUUCUACGUUCUUGAAUAAUCGAUUUCUACUAAUACAACUAAGGAUCGUUUGGUAAUUGAUUAGAACUUUACAAGUAUUAGUAUAAUGGAGAUAUUAGUUAUUAACUGUUCCACCUUCUAUCACACAUAAAAUAAAGGCAUAAUACAUAAAUAUGUCAUUUAACUUNNNNNNNNNNNNNNNNNNNNNNNNNNNNNNNNNNNNNNNNGCACAAGUAGACACUUAAACUUAUAUAAAGUUGAACAAAUAGACACACAUGUACUACAUGGCAUCCUACAUGUCAUUUUUUGUCCUACGUGUAUUGUGCCACGUAAAACUCAUGUGUCUACUUGUUCAAGUUUAUACAAGUUUAAGUGUCUACUUGUGCAUAUCCAAAGUUGAAGCGCAUAAAUGUGAAAUGAAGCCAAGUUAAAGGACAUAUUUAUGUAUUAUGCCUAAAGUAAAUGAUACACCAAUUUUUUCAUAACUUAAACAUACAUUAUUCUACAAGUUCUAAAAUUACAAAUCAAACGUUAUAUUAAGGUGUACGCCUCGUACCCCUAACUCUUCUCUCUCUCUAUACAUAUAUACACCUAUUUUUACCACAACUCUUCAUUCACAUUAAAGCUAGAAAUGGCAGAAGAAAUGAUGAACAACAAACAAAUCAUUCUAAAACAUUAUGUGGAAGGUUAUCCUAAGGAAUCUGAUAUGGAAUUUAAGAAUAGUAUCAUUAAAUUGAGUGUUCCAGAAGGUUCUAAUGUUGUUAUUUUGAAGAAUCUUUACUUGUCUUGUGACCCUUACAUGCGUAACCGUAUGAGCAAACUUGAGGGUAGCUAUAUUCAAUCCUUCACUCCUGGUUAUGUAAGUAUUUCAAUAAUUUACUACCACACAUGAUUAUUUAGUUGAUAUAUAUUAUACGAGAGUCAAAAAAAUAUAUUUAAUGUAUUUUUAUAAAUAGGUGUUUGGAUUAAUUUAUUUUAACAGUUUUUGGCUUUUAAUCUUCUUUUGAAACUUUUUGAAGGUGUUUGAUAAAAAACACCUUUUUAAGGCUGAGAAAUUACAAAAAUAAGUUAAAAGUAUAGAUAUUCUCAACUCGUGACUUUUAAGUUUUUGCUUAUAAGAUACUUAAAACAAAGUCAAUCUAAACAGCCCGUGAUCGUGGAUCUGGGCAGGGUGGUGAGUACUGGCUUAAUUUCUAUCUUGUGGAGGUAGAGAGAUUAUUUUCAAAAGACUUUCAAAAUCAAGUCCGAAUUUUGAGAGUCGAACUUGUUAAUCUUGAUCUGGAUUUGAAUAUAAAAUCUUUAAUUUUUUAUAAAUAUUCAAGAACAAUGUUAAAAGUAUUAUAAAUCAUAACAAUUGAAUAUAAAAUCUUUAAAUAGUGUAGACCUUGAUUGUUUCAAAUUUAACAUUAUGUUUUGUCUGCAGCCUAUUACAGGAAAUGGAGUGUCUAAAGUUUUGAAAUCUGGUGAUUCAAAUUUUCAAGAAGGUGACUUAGUUUGGGGAAUGACUGGAUGGGAGGAAUAUACUAGUAUUGUAACAACUACUCAAAGUAUGUUUAAAAUUGAUCAUGACAAGGAUGUGCCUCUUUCCUAUUAUACAGGAAUCCUUGGUGAGUGUUUUCGACUGGGUUAAAGUCUUACAUUAGUUGGGGUCUCUACAUAUAUGGAUUUGAAAAAAAUAAUUUUCGGGAUUGAGUUAGGCCCAGGCGUCAUAACUUUACAUGAUAUAUAUAUAUCUAUAUAUGAACCAAGUUCAUCCCUAUUUGGGAUCUUGGUCCACACGCUCCAGUUGGGCUUGCACUUGAAGGGGGGUCUAGAGUCCCACAGUGGUACUACAACAAAGCCAACUUUUAGCGGCAAUAAAUAGACACAUUAAUAAAGAGUGCUAAAGUCUUUACUGGCAUUAGUUAAGUGUCGUUAGAUCCAAUGUCGCUAAAGGCUUUAGGGGCAUAUACAAAGAGUGCUAAUUGCCACUAAAAAUACAUAUUUAGUGCCAAUUGAUCUAUUACCGUUAAUUAAUUGCCACUAAAGAUCGUUUUUGAUGUAGUGAUGGUUGGUUGGGGAAUAGACUGGUAAUCUGCUUAUAUGGACUCAGACAAUAAUCUUCUGCUUUUGCAGGGAUGCCUGGGAUGACAGCUUAUGCUGGAUUUUAUGAGGUUUGCUCCCCUAAGAAGGGAGAAACUGUGUUUGUUUCAGCUGCUUCUGGAGCAGUUGGUCAACUUGUUGGACAAUUUGCAAAGAUGUUAGGUUGUUAUGUUGUUGGUAGUGCUGGAAAUAAACAAAAGGUAAGUGCUUAAACAUUUCAUUCUUGAAUUUUAUUAGUGGCUUAUAAGUUAUCUUACUUAUCUUAAUCAUUGUUAAAUAAUCUAGCUAUCUCAUCUAUUCAUUAUUAUUAUUAAAGGUUGAUAUGUUGAAGACCAAGUUUGGUUUUGAUGAAGCUUUUAACUAUAAAGAGGAGCAGGAUUUAGAUGCAGCUUUGAAGAGGUAAGUAAUCUUAUAAAUUCCCACAAGAAAACACUAACUAAUAUGGAAAAAAAUAGUUUCCAGGGUGAAGGUGUUGGCAACGACUUCUUUUUUAACCUUAACGAUGUGGGGGGUUAGGCUUGACCCCUACCAUGUCUAUAACAUCCAAAAAGUUAAAAAAGUAGAGGGGGACAUGGACCUAACCUCUUGAUAGUGAACAACGAGGAUAAACUAAACAAUCUACAAAAAGACCAAGAUGACAUAGACUUUCAUACUAUAAGAAAAAUACACUGGUUCAAUUAACAAAAAAAUUAAAUUUGUCGUAUCUUCUCCUUAUGCUAAAGUUGCCACUUAUCUAGUAGAAAUAGUCCCUUCACCUCAGAAGAAUUGUGUGUGGUGGAUUGAACAUUAAGGGCAUAUAUGAAAAGAUAGCUAAUAUAACGCUAAAGGUAUAUAUGAACUGAUAGUAUAACGGAAAAGCAAUACUAGACCUUUAAUUUUCAAUAAUAUAGGAGUAAAUAUGACCUUUUUUUCGUAUUGGUUUAUUCUAUUAGGUACUUCCCUGAUGGAAUUGCCAUUUACUUUGAGAAUGUUGGAGGUAAGAUGCUUGAUGCAGUUCUUGUGAAUAUGAAACUUCAUGGUCGUAUUGUUGUGUGUGGAAUGAUUUCACAAUACAACCUUGACAAGACUGAAGGAGUGCACAACUUGUUUUGCCUUAUCGCGAAACGAAUCCGUAUGGAAGGAUUUCUUGUUUUUGAUUACUAUCAUCUUUAUCCUAAAUAUUUGGAAAUGAUCAUUCCACAAUAAAGGCUGGUAACAUUGUGUAUGUGGAAGACAUAGCUGAAGGUUUUGAAAGUGCUCCUAGUGCUCUAGUUGGUCUCUUCUCUGGUCUCAAUGUUGGAAAGCAAAUUGUGAUGAUUUCAUGUGAAUGAAUGGAUUUGGAUCUUUUCCAUUUUCUCUCAAGUUUUUACUUGAAAGGAAAGAUAUUGUGUCAUGGUUAAAUACUUAAAUACGCAAACAUUUCUAUCAUGUAUUUACUAAUUCUCUGUGUGGUUUGAAAUAAUUAGUCAUUAAUUGAUAGUUUCAUACUAGAUUUCAAGUCAGAUAUACUUAGGUACAUGUACUUUUGCUGCUAGAUACAUUCUGAAAUGCAGAUACAUAGGAAGAGAGUGAGCGAAAGAAGAGAAAGGAGAGAUGAGAGAGGCGAGAGGCAAGCGAAAGAGUUAGUGUAUUCCAGAUAUAUGCAAAUUACACUAGAUACAUAUAAUAUGAGUGAGAGAGUCAGUGUUUCCAAAUACAUAUAAAUUAUCCUUGAAUACAGUAUAUCAUGGAUGUGUCGCAUACAUGUGUUUGGGAACUGAAAUCUGACACAAACAAUAAUUUCAAAGAGGCACAUAAUUAAACUCUAAAUUAAAGAAAUUCUUAUCGUUUGCCCUUGAACUUAUUUAGGCAAAUAACAAUAAUUUUUAAUAAAAUAAACAGCAAUAAAAUACAUGGUGAAUAGCAAUGAUCAUUAGAGUAAAUAUAAUGUAUUUUAUUAAUAUUGAAAUAUGUGAAAAGAAAAAUAUUAUAGUGUAGCACAAGAUUGUAGGAGGUGUUUAUGAAAAAGAGAAGGGCAAAGCUUUUAAAUUUGAUGGGUAGAUAUCCUAAGUAGGGAAAAUAAAAGGUCGGAAGAGAUUAAAGAUUGCGAGAUUAAUAAUAAUUAAUAAAAUUAAAUAUAUAUAAUAUAGUAAUGAUGAGUAUAUUUUCUUAGAAAAUGAAUGAGUUUCAUAUAUAUUUUCUUAUAUUUAAUACGCGUAAGUAAAAAAUAUUUGUGUAUAAUCUAGAAUACUAUGUCAGGUAGGCAUGUGGGAUAUAUAUUGUUUCCCGAUGGGGAUGAGAGUGUAGAUAAAGUGUGUUAGAGAAUGGGGAGGACACAACUGAAGUUGAAUUUCAUUUGCGAAACUUAUUUUCCUACUUUCAGGCAUGGGAGGAACCAACCUUCAGAUGAACCCCCUUUGACAAAAAUAUUACUAUUUAUACAUGGUUAAAAUUAUUUUUUAUGUAUAUAUAAUAGAUGUCGAACUCCCUUCAGUUAGUUCGUGUGUUUAGUUCUUUAGAUAUUGAACCCCCUUAUUAAAAAUCCUAGGUCCGCCACUGCUUCCAGGAUAACUUUUACUAUACGAACAUGAAAAAAUUACUGGGCAUAUGAGUUUGAUAUAGCCCAUUUGAUACCUUCGUAUCCGAGUUCUCAAAAUUUCACUUCAAAGGUGCUGAGUUGGAAUCCCAUUCUAACUAACGAUUCUUGAGGUUCCGGAGGUACAACUACAGGAGAACCAGGAUUGGAGGGCUCCCCCGCCCCCCGUUCCGCCCAACUCUUUGGUCUUAAGAACGCUGGUUUUAAGAAUGAGUCAUUGCCUUUCUCCGACCCUGACUACCCAGCCUGAGAGCGGACAGCUAAUGCGUUCCACUUAUUGAACAGGGUCCUAUGGUCGGUCCGUGACCCCCGGAUGCCGAAGCCAUCCUUGGGGUGAUCUCAUAGUUCCUACGGGGUGGAGAUGAUGGGGUCGGUCCAUGGAUUUUCCUUCCUUUUCUUUUGCCGCAUUACGCUCAAAGGGUUGAAGGGAGAUAGUGCAUCAACCUGUUCGCAAGGGCCAACUUGAUCCUAUUCCCCAGAGAUCUCAGAUGAGGGAACCCUGGGAGAGAAAAAUGUUUCCUCCGCGCACCCUAUUUUAUUUUUCGUUUCUUGUUCAAGAACCCUUUAGAUGUUAGAAACAUUGAGGAUAAGUGAACUUCAUUCUCCCAACUGAAUGUUUAUUCAUUAUGUAUAUAUGAUAUGAAUGGAUUAACAAUUUGUCCUAUGAUAAUGUUUCUCAUAAGUACUUCUCUUUUGUGUUAUGUUAUAGCCUAUCACAGGAUGUGGGGUGGCUAAAGUUUUGAAGUCUGGUGAUUCAAAUUUUCAAGAAGGUGAUUUAGUUUGGGGAAUGAUUGGAUGGGAGGAGUAUAGUAUUGUAACUGCUACUCAGAGUGCUCUGUUUAAAAUUCAUGACAAGAAUGUACCCAUAUAGACGAUCCCAGCUUGUUUUAGACUGAGACGUAAUUGUUGUUGUUGUUUAUUGAAGCUUAAAGGAUGUUUUUGCUCUUCUCAUGUGUUGACAUGGGGAUCAAUAGGUACAAUAAAAGUCUUCUUGGGGAUAAACUAGGGAAGUUCCCUGCGCCUUUACUUAUGAACACUGUGCACUUUGCGAUGCAAGCUGUUUUGUCCAAGGCCAUUACCGGGUUUUGGCAUCAACGAUUUCAACCUACAGUGAUGAUGUCUUGGAGAGACUAUUCUUUGAAAGGUAACAUCAUGACUAAUAAUGCUCUUUUUUCUUCUUAACAACUAAUACUAUAGACGGCCUUCGCCUUUCACAGUUGUACCAACAGCUCUCACAACAGCAAUGGAUGUGAACCUCAGCAAUGCAUCCCUUGUUUUCAUCUCAGUCACAUUUUCCACUAUGGUGUGCAACUCUUUCUCCUUAUACAGUUUGUGUCAAUACUGAUAGACUGCAAAUUUUUCUUCAAAAAUUGAGCUCUGAGAAAGCAAGCUUUGUUAAACUCACGACCCUAACAUUUGUCGAGGGCUCUAGUAUUUGCAUUUAUGUACCUUGAAAUUUAUCAGUCACAACUCUCUGCCACUAAAGUAAGUGUGAUUGUCAAAGCCUUCAAGGGCCACUCAAAUAAUCGUCUAUUAUUGAUAAGAAUAACAGAUUUCUUACUUUGUUUUCUCCUUCCUUAUUCUGAUACGAAUGCUGGAUUCCUAAAUGCAAUUUAUGUCAUUGCAGUGUAAAUCUGCAUCUCCCAUCUUUCUCCUAUUCUUCGCAUUUGCUUUCAGGUACUACUUUUAAUCACUGAUCUCUUUUGUUUUAUUGUGCUUUUUUUAUGGGGGUAGCCGGUCCAGAAGCAUCGUAUUUCUACUUGAUCCUUUGUUAUAGAUGUACAUCCAACAUUAUUGUUCGUAAAUGCGACUUUUUAUUCCAUAUGAGGACUCAAUAGAAUAUGAUUGUUAAUUCACUAUGAACUAAAAACCUGAAAGCAUCUUUGAAACAACUAUCUUUGAUGAAUACGACACAUUUGACGGGGAUCAUAUCUAAGCUGAAUAUAUGGCCUCAAUUAUUUGUGGAAGGUUGGAGUCUCCAAGUGUAAAGCUGCUGGGGAUCAUCUUGGUCAUUUCUGUUGGGAUACUAUUAACAGGUAUGUUCCAUGCUUGCAUUUAGUUGUCUUGGUAUUGUUUUUCGUAUUUUAUAUUCUCUUAUAUGCAAAAGUAUUCACAAUUUUCAUCUUCAUCUGUCAUUCAUAAAUCAUAUCCGUAACCUUCACUUGUGCACCAGAUAAAACGUUUACUUUAUCAUACAAUAUUUUUCGUUUCACAACUAUCAUCGAUAAUUUGGAUAAACAUAGGUAAUCUUCUUAAUGAGUGUCUUCGUAAGCUUUAUCGUCUUGUGGAUAACUGUGUCGUUUGUUGAUUUACAUCCGUUUGGUAGAUAAGUCUGACUCCAUUUUCUGAUAAUGCAGUUGCAAAGGAGACAGAAUUUGAGUUUUGGGGAUUUGUCUUUGUUAUGCUUGUUGCAGUCAUGUCUGGAUUUCGAUGGACUAUUACUCAGAUUCCUCUGCAGGUUGGAUUUUGCGACACUCGUUGCAUUAUUAUCAUUGAUUUCUCGUUCCGUUGUUUUGUCAAUAGUAUGUUUGCUUACUUUGUGUAUUUUUCUGUUUGUUUUCCCAUAUCCAACUGGUUGUGCUGAACAUAAAACUGGCAUAAAGAAAGAAGCCUAUGGUAAGGACUAUGAACAACUCUUAGCAAAUUUUAAACAUUCUGGAAAUGUUAUUAUCAUCAUCAUUAUUAUUAGCAGUCGUAGCAGCAGCGACUGCACCACUACUUAGACUACAUCAAAUCUGAUCUUGUUUUAAAAGGACAGUUCGAUGCACGAAGCAUCUUGCAUUCACGUGAUGUAGGCAGCCUACCCUGAUACAAAUCAGCGGCUAAUUCCACAGCUCAAACCCUGCUUUGUCUUAGUCCUUGUUUUGACCAAAUUAAUAUGUUGAAAAUCGUUAUUUGUUUUAUAGUUUGUGAAUAAAUUGUGUAAUGAAAUGCAUGCUUUGGUUAUUGCAGGUUUAAAAAAUCCACUCACACUAAUGAGCUAUGUUACUCCGGUAAUGACUCUUUCAACUGCUGUGUUGUCCCUUAUUUUUGAUCCGUGGCACGAAUUCAGACACACCAAUUACUUUGAUACGUCAUGGCAUAUAGCUAGAAGUUGUUUGUUGAUGCUUUUUGGCGGAACUUUGGCUUUCUUUAUGGUAUGUAUGUGUCCAAGCACUGGUAUCAGUUCAAUUUGUGGAUUUUCCAUCUCAUAGUGAAAAUGAAGCCUUCUAAUAGGCUUAGUUCGUUUAGAAAUGAUUAUCAAUUAUUAAAGAACUUGGACGUACAUAACGAUAAGUACUUCUUCAUGCUUACCUAGCAACGUUUGUUUACUGCAGGUGUUGACGGAAUAUAUUCUUGUGUCUAUCACAAGUGCAGUAACAGUGACAAUAGCGGGAGUUGUAAAGGAGGCGGUAACUAUCUUGGUACGUCGUAGUAGGUUCAACCUUUAAAGUGUCUAUCUAUGUAUUAUGUCAAAGCAAUUUUAUGCACUUUUAAGUCCUAUUUUUGCUGGUUGACUGAAGCUUACUUACCUCAAAGAUAUUGUACUAUUCGAACACUGAUAGACUGAGAUAGGACGUGGAUUGCUUCAAUCUUGAAUAUUUUUCGAUAUUUGUCAAAUAUCUAUGGUCUAUGGAGUCCAUGGUUUCAACAAUUUGUGUAAUAGCUGGUAAUUUGCUGCCCUGUUCAGGUUGCUGUGUUUUAUUUUCACGACGACUUUACCUGGAUGAAAGGGUUCGGUCUCCUGACGAUAAUGUUUGGUGUCAGUUUGUUUAACUGGUACAAGUAAGUGACUGAAUCCUUCAUGUUCUAGCAAGAAGUUAUCUCAUAAUGUCUCGUUCUGCACUGACAUUAAAAUUAGAUUUACUGAACACAAUAUGUGUGCAUUCUGUUUUAUGUUAUCAAUUUAUGAUCCUCAGUUAGUAGACACCUUAACUUAGCCUCAACUGAUCAAAGUAAACACUCCAACUUUGAGAAUACGCAUCUAGACACCUCAACUCGUCCCCACUGUGUCUCGUGACAUUGACAUGACAAAUAGAUUUUGGAGGUGUCUAUGUUGAUUGUUUUGUAAGUUGGAGUGUUCAACUGACAUAGUGAAGACGAGUUGAGGUGUCUGGAUGCGUGUUCUCAAAGUUGGAGUGUUUAAACUGUUCCUAGCACUUUAGUCAUCCUUAAUCAAAACGACUAUAUGUUUACUUAAGCUAUAGUAGUUCAAUCAAAUUGUUGAUAUCGAGCCAUUUUUAGUCGAAAAUGGGACUUUGGCAUGGUUUAAUGGCAUGUGUUGAAGUCGUAAUUUUUCCAUUUUUCGUUAAUCAGGUAUGACAAAAUACAUAAAGGUAGCACAAGUGAAGAUGAAACUGGAUCACCAUUAGUAAAUGCAGCUACCAAGUAUGUUAUACUUGAAGAAAUGGAAGAUCAAGACCACAGUCCUUGAAGUUUUAGUCAUAGUCAUAGUUUAUUUUAUUUGUAAUUCGCAGCAAACAUCCCAUUUUUUUGUUCAUCUGGUUCGGUAUACAAUUACUCAUUCGGUAUACAAAUGUAUAAAAUGUGUUUGUAUUUGUAUAAAGUGAGAGAAAAAGUGUAUAUACAAAUACAGAUACAAAUACAUAUAUUUUCAUCUUAUACACUUAUAAUUAAACAAAUACAGAUCUUAUUAUACAAAAUACAAUGUAUAAAUGAAUUUAUACAAAACUGAACAAUUUGUAUAAAUUGGAUGUAUCUAGCAAAUUAUACAAAUCAAAAGCUCCAUAACAAACAUAAAAUUUGCUAUGAAACGCAAUUAUGCAAACUAUAGUUAUAACAUACAAAUAUAAUUUUUAUGUUUGCUAUAUUGAAAGUUGCUCUAAUUUUUUUGUGAAAGACAUUCUACAUUUACUUCUUAAGGAAAAGACACACUACAUUUACUUCUCAAGGAAAAGGCACUCUCUUUUGGGAAGAUGCAUGGUUAAUUCCGAACGAAACUCAAAGACAGAAAUUUAUAGGCCCUCUACCUUGGAAUGCCCUAACAAAGACACUGUUGUGAACACGACUGGACAAGUUGUGGGCUUGAGGCUAACUAAACCACAAAGAGGCCCAAGAAUUAGACAGCCCAAUACUUGUUUUCCUUGGGAUCCAGGUUGAGUAGACUUGAUUUAUCGUAUUCAUAAUUUCUAGCAAAUUACAACGGAAGGGGAUGAAAAAAUGCGUAGAUUUUCUAGCAAAUGAAGGUCAAUCGUAUACAUGAGGAGGAUUUGUUAAUCAAGGAAGAUGAGGAAGUUGAGUUUUUUCACCUAGUAAACUUUAAGACAUGUUGCUUAUAGAAGGGAAAUAUAUUACUCCCUAUGUGCUAAAAAAAUAAUUAUAUACAUUUUUAUACUUAGUAGAAAUUUAACUUUUAAACUUCUCAUUUUACCCCUAAAGUUAGGGGUGGAAGUUUGGUAUUCGGUUCGAGAUUUCCAAAUUUUAAAUUCGAUAAUUCAAUAAUUGAUAGUUAAAAAUAGAUUCAAUUCAGUACGGUAUUCAGUACUAUCAUAUCGAAGUUAUAGUCUAUUGUAUAACAAAAUUAAUAUUGUUACUUCAGUCAUUUUGAUUUUUUUAUAUGAAUGCACGAUAUAAUAGAAAAUUAACAACUAAGAAGACAUCAAGAUCUCUGCCACUGUAUACAUGAUUUGUAUUAAUGCAAGAUUGUGUUUAAUCCAUUGUUAAUGACCUUCUCAAAAAAUAUUUAUAAAUUUCCUAGGGAAGCCAACUUAUUUUUUAAAACAUGUCAGAGUAAUAAUUUCUGGAACAACUUGACGUAAAAACAGGUUGAACCUUAUCUCGAUUCGGUAUUAUUUUCUCCGUUUAUUUUUAUUUAUUUUAAUUUAGAAAAUUAAAAAAUAAUUUAUGUUUUCUCAGCAGUUUAGUUUAGAAAAUUAAGAACAACUCCCUCUCUCAGUCUCGCUCGCCAUUCUCCUCCCUAUAACAUGUAGCUACGAAUUAUAAUUAACAAAUUAUAUUACUCCCUAUUUUAUGCGGCACUUUUCAAAUUUUGAGAUUCAAUUAAGUCUAUCUAUAACUGUAAGUUUUUUAUAGAUCUUUUAAACAUUUUAAAUUAUCAAUUAUUGUGACUUAUAACACUUUCUACAUAGUUUAUAAAUAUAUAAAUUUCAUUUUAAAAAAUUAAAGAUAUCUUCGCAAAUUUCCAGCGAAACUUAAAACUUUCAAAAAAAUGAAAAGUGUCACAUAAAUUGGGACAGAUGAAAUAAUAAUAUUAAUACCUAGCAAUAUUUAAUAAUUUAUUGGUUGGUACACCUAACAAUCUCGUAAUCGUAUAGCAACAAUAUUUUAAUACUCCCCCUGUCCCAUAUUAUAUGUCACCUUUUUCAUUUGCAUUUGCAUUAAGAAAUGAAUUAUCAAUUAUUGUGUCUUAUAACACUUUUUAUAUAGUUUACAAAUAUAUAAAUUUCAUUUUAAAAAAUUAAAGAUAUCUUCGCAAAUUUUCGACGAAACUUAAAACUCUAAAAAAAUGAAAAGUGUCACAUAAAUUGGGACAGAUGAAAUAAUAAUAUUAAUACCUAGCAAUAUUUAAUAAUUUUUCGGUUGGUACACCUAACAAUCUCCUAAUCGUAUAGCAACAAUAUUUUAAUACUCCCUCCGUCCCGUAUUAUAUGUCACAUUUUUCAUUUGCACUUACAUUAAGAAAUGAAGUAAUUUUACCCUUAUGCCCUUAUUUAAUGUUUGCUUAAAACAACUUUGUAAUAAAUGAUGAAUAGGUUAGAUUUCAAAAAUAUAAAUGCAUUUGGAUGACUUUAAAUUUUAGAGUUUAUUUUUGGAGCCAAAAAAUUUCACCAAUUGAUCCAAAAAAAAUUAAAAAUCAAGUUUUUUCCACCUCAAUUUUCCUAUAUAUUUUGUGUAAAAUGUUUUUUUAUAUUUUAUAUAUAAAUUCUUAAAGCAAACAUGACAACAUCACAAAAUAUUCAAAUUCCAUUACUUUAAAUUAAUCUAAAUUUUCCUGCUGAAUCUGAUGUUAUUGAUAAUGAAAUUAGACGACAAAUGAAUUUUAGUUCUAGUUCGACAAAUCAUUUAUUUUUUUUAUUUAAACAUCGAGGCACAUAUUAAAGAAGAUUUGAAUACAAAUAUUGGUUUGUUGUUUUGUUUAAAAUUUUGAUUCGUAUUUUAAUUGUUUUAUUUAUAUUUAUAUACUUAAUUCAUUUUUACAAUACCAUUUGAAGGGCUGCAAACUGCAUCAGAAGAAGAUAUAUUAUCGAAAGAGUCAACUACAAAUAUUGGUUUGUUGAUAUUUUUUUUCAAAAUUAGAUUCUAUAGAAUAAGUAGUGAAUAAAGAAAGUAGUUAAUUAAUGAAUGAAGUACUCUCCCAAUGAAAUUAAUUACUUGUAGAUUUUCUAGGUUAAUCAAAGUAAAUACAUUUUCAAGAUUAAUUGAUUAAUCUAUCAAGGGUAUAAUGGAAAAAAUAUGAUAAUUUAUGCAUAAAUUUUAUAAAAUGAUAUAUAUUGUGGUCCAGCUAUUUUUAGAAAGGGAUGACAUAUAAUAGGGUUACGGAGGGAGUAAAAGAUCCGUACACAUGCAAUUGGUUACUGAUUUAAAAUAAUUUGUCUCUACUCUCAUCCAAAUAUGUAAUCUGACUGAUUUUAUGUUAUUUUUAUUCUUUAUUUCAAGUAUGCAUAAAAAAACAAAUGUAAUAUACAUAAUUAUUUAAUUAAAUUGAAAAAAAAAGUUAAGUUUUUUUUAAAAAAAUGGACAAGAUUCAACAAGAAGAAAGGUAGAAGAGAGAUGAAAAAUGGUAAUGGGCUUGAGGUGGGGGAGGGGUGAGUGUAGAGGCUAAUUAUUUAUUUAUUUUUUAAUUUAUAUAAACACAAAAUUAGAUCAAUUAUAUAAGGUUAUAUAUUAAAUAAUUUUUAAUUAUUUAAAUAGAGAAGGACCCAAAAUUUUCCCAAGCUAUGACAUUUAAUUUGUAUAAUAUUGUCCUUUGUUCAUAUUAAAGUGUGGUCCGUAAAAAAUAAAGACAUAUUGUACCAAACAAGUUAACGCUGAGAGCAUUUCUAACUCGAAAAAUUGACGAAGAACAGUUUUAUAUCAAAUAAAUAUGAAUCCUUUUACAAAAUUUUAAAAGUUAUCUUUACUUUCUUAAAUUAAUUUCCCGUGAAACUAAGAUACGCAAACUGGAACUAACGGAGUAACUUAGUACUAAUUCGAUUUGCUUCAUACUAUUAUUUUAGUACUAUGAUUAUCUCUUUUUCCUCUUCGAUUAUUAGGGCCACAUUUAAACUGCUUGCACAACAUUUCUAGCUGUAAUUGGUAGGUAAAGUCCUUGAGUGAACAGCUAAGAAAAAGAACAAAGCAUUGAACAUGUGGGAAAAAAUAUAUCACUCCCUCCAUAUUAUUGUAUUUUUCACUUGACACGAUAUUUAAAAAAUUUAAAAUAAUUUAUAGUUAUUUAAAUAUCUAUGACUCGAUUAUUUUAUUUCAUAAGUUUUAAAAGUUUAUUCUUUCUUAAAUUUAAUGUCGAUUUAAACUAAGGACAAUCGAGUAAUAUUUAGUUUAUGUAGCACUUUUUUAAAUUUUACUUCCUUUGGUCAAUUUAUGUAGCACUUUUUGUUUUUCGAUAGUUAAAUGGUUUAAUAAAAAAUUUGCGCAUUGAAUCUUUAAUUUUUUAUACUUAGUAGAAAUUUAACUUUUAAACUUCUCGUUUUACCCCUAAAGUUAGGGGUGGAAGUUUGGUAUUCGGUUCGAGAUUUCCAAAUUUCAAAUUCGAUAAUUCGAUAAUUGAUAGUUAAAAAUAGAUUCAAUUCAAUACGGUAUUUAAUACUAUCGUAUUGAAGUUAUAGUCUAUUGUAUAACAAAGUUAAUACUGUUACUUCAGUCAUUUUAAUUUUUCUAUGUGAAUGUACGAUAUAAUAAAAAAUCAACCAUGAAGAAGACAUCAAGAUCUCUGCCACAUGAUUUGUAUUAAUGCAAGAUUGUGUUUAAUCCAUUGUUAAUGACCUUUUCAAAAAAUAUUUAUAAAAUUCCUAGGGAAGCCAACUUAUUUUUUUAAACCAAGUCAGAGUAAUAAUUUCUGGAACAACUUCACGUGAACCUUAUCUCGAUUUGGUAUUAUUUUCUCCCUUCAUUUUUAUUUAUUUUAAUUUAGAAAAUUAAGAAAUAAUUUAUGUUUUCUCAACAGUUUAGUUUAGAAAAUUAAGAACAACUUCCUCUCCCAGUCUUGCUUGCCACUCUCCUUCCUAUAACAUGUAGCUACGAAUUGUAAUUAACAAAUUAUAUUUAUAAAGCGUAAUUAGAUUGUUUUUGAGUGGCUAUAUAUGAAAGUUCCUCAUUUUUUUAUUUCGUAAAAUUUUAUUUUUAACAAAAAAAAUUUAUAUCAACAAAUUUUAAUUAAUGUAAAUAUCACUUCAUUAGUAUAUCGAUCUGAUCAAUUUACUAUCAGUUUAGUUUUAAAUAAUACUUUGAUCUUUGUUAAUGAAUUAAUUGUUUGAUAAUAAAUUUAAGUCUAAAUUGUUAAUUUCAAUACAUGAAUAUUCUUAAUUUAAUUUGUUCAUUAGUUGAUCCAUUGAUCCAAUGAGCUAAUUUGAAACAUUAUACACGUUUUUAUUUUAAGAUCAUGAGAUUUUAAAAAUCGUCUUUACUUUCUUAAAUCAAUAUUUUAUAUAAUUAAGACACACAAAUUAAAAUUAAGGGAGUAACUUAGUACUGAUUUGAUUUGCUUGACACUGUUCUUUUAGUCUGUGUCAACACUAGUGUUCACUGUUUGGAUAAAAACCGAUCCAAAUCGAAAAACCAAAUCAAAUCGAUAAAAUAAAACCCAUUUUAUUUGGGUUUAGUUUGAUUUUAGAUUUUUGAAAAUCGGUAGUAUUUGGUUUGGUUAUGGUUUUACUCGAAAAAACUGAGGAAAUAAUCGAACCGAACUGAUGAAUUAUAUACAUAUAUUUUAUUAAUAUACAUACUUAAUAUAUUGUUUUUAUAAACAAUUUUAAAGAUCUUAUAUAUGUUUUCAAUAAAAUUUCUUUAUAUUUUACUUAUUGAAAGCAAAGAAUGCCCAAGGCGAAAACAUUUAUCUUAUUGAUUUCAUGUAAUAUGAGUGUCUAUGACAAUUCUUUGUUAGACUGAAAAUGUUAUUGUCACUUCCUUUUUGGGCAAUAUAGUGAAUUUUAAAGUUUUAUUGAUAGUAAAUUCAAUGAUCGAAAGUUCGGUAAUUUAAGUCAUUCUAACUAUUUUUUAUUUUGAAUGGAUUGUUGUCACUUUUUUCACAUUUUGAAUGAAUUGUUUCUUUUAUUUAUGUGUAUGGUUAAUAACCGAACCAAACUAAACUGAAACCGAUAACCACCAAACCGGUAAAUGUAUAUUAUAUUUGGUUUGGUUUGGUUUUGAUAAUUUUAAAACCGAUUAAGUUGGUUUGGUUUUAAUUUUGACCAAUAACCGAUCCAAACCAACUCGUAAACACCCCUAGUCAACACAAACCUAAUAACACAGAUAGAAAGACAAUUAAGGUUUUUUAAAAAGUAUUUUAUUAUUAAUUAUGGUAAUAUAUAAAAAAAAAAUUAUCUCAAUAUAUAUGAUACUGAUAAAUUUUCAUGAGUACUCACAACUACUGAAUUUGCACAUGCAGUUUGUGUGGCUGCGUGCGGAAAGGUCAGUAUGUCUCUAUCUUGAGAUAAAAUUAUUUCAUAAGUUGAGAUAUUUUAUGAGAUAAUUAGUUAUCUCACUAAUAUAUAUAUAUAUAUAUAUAUAUAUAUAAAUAUAUUUUACUCUUAUUAUAAACAUAUUUUACUAUUAUAAAAUAAAUAAUUUCAAGACUAACUUAUACUUCUAAUUAAAUGAAAAAUAAUAUUAUUUAUAUUUUAUUUUGAAAUUAUUAUUUCGUUUUCUUUGUACCAAAUUGAUAUGAACCCUUAAGCUUUUCCUCUUCAAUUAUUAGGGAGCCCACUUAAGGCUUGUACAACAUUGCACAUUUAAAUAAUGAUUUUAGUGAUAAUUUGUAUUUUACUUUAUGUGUUAUUUAACUAUGCACAUUUAAAUGGUGAUUUUAGUGAUAAUUUCUAUUUUACUUUAUGUGUUAUUUAACUAUGUACAUUCUUAAUUAUUUGAAGGGUAGGUUUUGGUGCUUGAAGUUAACAAAAGUAAACUACUCUUAUUUAAUAAAAUGAUUAUUUGAAAAUAUAAAAUAAAAUAAACGGUUGAUGAUUCUAAAUACUUGAGUGUUGUAAUUGGUGGUAGAAUAAAUUUACUCUAGUCCCUUAACAAAAUUCAAAAGUAAGUCAUAUCAUCUUGCAUUCUAAGUAUUCGAUUAAAUUCCUAGCUAAAACGAUAGUUUAGUUUUAGAAUUUAAUUACUCAAUCACUUUUUUGUUUGAAGACAAGGUUAGAAAAUUCGCAAAACCACAGUCUUUAACAUCUUGACACAAGUCUACUCUUUGUGGGAUCGACCCAAAUUUUUGUUGAGUUUAUUAUUGCUAUGAGGCCAAAGGCCAAUUUAUGUAUAUAUUUGGGGGUGUACGUGCACCCGUUAAUUUCGGAAAGAAUCACACAUAUAUAUAUAUAAUUAUCAAUCUUGAGAAACUUUCAGAAACUAAAUAUACUCCCUCCAUUCUAUAUUAAUUGAAUUGUUGAGACAUUUUUCAUUUUUCAUUUUUCAAAUUUAAUUGUUCAGUUUUCAAGACUACAUUUAGAGUGUUCUUCCAAUUUUUACCCUUCAUUAGUUAGUAUUGAAAUUAGUGAUUAAUUAAUAUUUAGUUAUUUUAAUUAUAAUUUUGACAAUAAUUAAUAAGGGUAAAAAUGGAAAACUAUGUUCAAUUUAUGUCUUAAUCUAUUUUUCUUAAAGGAUGUGAAACACCUCAAAAAUUAAAUAUUACUCCCUCCGUCUUAUUUUAUACGACACUUUUCGAAUUUCAAGAUUUAAAUAAGUCAAUCUUUGAUUGUAAGUUUUUUAUAGAUCUUUUAAACAUUUUGAAUUAUCAAUUAUUGUGACUUAUAGUACUUUUUAAAUAGUUUACAAAUAUAUAAAUUUCAUUUCAAAAAAUUGAAGAUUUCUAUGCAAAUUUCCGGCCAUACUUAAACUCUUAAAAAUUAAAAGUGUCACAUAAAUUUGAACGGAUGAAAUAGUAAUAUUAAUACCUAGAAAUAUUUAAUAAUUUAUCGGUUGGUAGUUGCUACGCCUAACAAACUCGUACUUCGUAUAGCAACAAUAUUUUAAUAAAAGAUCCGUACACAUGCAAUUGGUUACUGAUUUAAAAUAAUUUGUCUCUACUCUCAUCCAAAUAUGUAAUCUGACUAAUUUGAUGUUAUUUUAUUCUUUAUUUGAUUUCAAAUAUGCAUAAAAAACAAAUGUAAUAUACAUAAUUAUUUAAUUAAGUUGAAAAAAAAGAGUUAAUUUUUUUUAAAAAAAUGGACAAGAUUCAAGAAGAAAAGUAGAAGAUAGAUGAAAACAGGUAAUGGUUGCGCCGGGGGGGGGGGAGUGUGGAGGCUAAUUUUUAUUUUUUUUAAAUUUAUAUGGAACUCAAAAUUAGAUCAAUUAUAUAAGGUUAUGUAUUAAAUAUUUUUUAAUUAUUUAAAUAGAGAAGGACCCAAAAUUUUCCCAAGCUAUGAGAUUUAAUUUAUAUAAUAUUAUCCUUUGUUCAUCUUAAAGUGUGGACCGUCAAAAAUAAAGACAUAUUGUACCAAAUAAGUUAAAGUUGAGAGCAUAUCUAACUUGAAAAAUUGACGAAGAACAGUUUUAUACCAAAUAAAUAUGAAUCCUUUUACGACAUUUUAAAAAUUAUGUUUACUUUCUUAAAUUAAUAUCCCGUGAAACUAAGAUACACAAACUGAAACUAACGGAGUAACUUAGUACUAAUUCGAUUUGCUUCAUACUAUUAUUUUAGUACUAGACAUAUAAACUCAAUACAGACUCAAUAGCAUAGAUAAAAUUUUGGAAGGCAAUGAAUUUUUUUUAUAUAAAUAUUUUAUAUUAUUACAUAAUUAUUAUUAAAAUAUGAUACUUUCACAAUAUUUUUUUUCUAUCCUAAUUUAUGUGAUACUGAUUAAUUUUUGAGAGUACAAUCAAAACUACUGAAUUUCCACAUGCAGGCUUUGUGUGAGAAAAGCUCUAAUUUUUGGAAUAUUUUCUUGUUGUGGUGCAGGCUACAACGUACAAUAAUAAGCUCUAUAUCUUUUAAUCUUUUACUUUAUUUAUCUUUAAAAAGGUUACUGUAUUUGAUUUGUGGGAUUAAAAUUUAAACGUGAUAUUUUUGAAUUAUGCGAAAAUAAAAUUUAUCUUAUAAAUUGAGAUAUUUUUUGAGAUAAUUAAUUAUUUUUCUAUAUAUAAAAUUUUUUUAUCUCACCAUUAUAAAUUAUACAAUUUAAGAACUUACUAAUACUCAUUAUAUAUAUAUAUAAUAAUUUUAAAUUUUAGGUCAAAUAAUUAUCUUUUUUUCCUCUUCAAUUACUAGGGUCACGGUUAAACGACUUGCACAACAUUUCAAGCUGUAAUUGGUAGGUUAAGUCCUUGAGUGAACAGCUAAGAAAAAAGAAGAAAGCAUUCAACAUGUGGGAAAAAAGAUAUUAUUGUACGAACAUCUUUUCACUUGACACGAUAUUUAAAAAAUAAUUUUUUUAAAAAUUUAUAAUUUAAAAUAAUUUAUAGUUAUUCGAAUAUCUAUGACUCGAUUAUUUUAUUUCAGAAGUUUUAAAAGUUUUUCUUUUCUUCUUUCUUAAAUUUAAUGUCGAUUUAAACUAAGGACGGUCGGAGUAAUAUUUGGUUUAUGUAGCACUUUUCUUAAAUUUUACUCCCUGGUCAAUUUAUAUAGCACUUUUCGUUUUUCGAUAGUCAAAUGGUUUAAUCAAAAAUUUGCGCAUGGAAUCUUCAAAUUUUUUGAAAUAAAAUUUAUAUAUUUAUGAACUACGUAAAAGUACUAGAAAUUACAAAAAAUAUAUAAAAAAUUUAUGAUCAAAGAUAGAAUUGUUUGAUCUCGAAAUGUCAACUCAAUUAUUAUCGAGUGGUCGCAUUUGUACAACUCAAGUCUGUGAUCACCUCCUUUCGCAUGUUAAUUAAUUCCAUUUCAUUCUUUUUUAAAUACAUUAUACAUAUUUUUAAUUGGUUUUAAAAGUCGUAUUUACUUUCUUAAAUUAAUAUCCUGUCAAAUUAAGACACAUAAAUUGAAAUUGAGGGAGUAACUUAGAGAGUGUUUGGAUUUGUUUAAAAGUUGGUCAAACUUACUUACAAGUCAGAUUUUUACUUCUGAAACUGUUUGACAAAUACAUAAGCUUGUACCAAUACAAAUCCAGUAAUGCAAAUGAAAAGACAAUUAAAUUUCUUUUUAAAAAAUAUUUUAAAUUAUUAAUUAUUAUUUUUUAUCUCAAUUUAUGUGAUACUGAUAAAUUUUCGAGAGUACUCACAACUAGUGAAUUUCCACUCUAAUUUAAGUUAGGGAUAUUUUCUUCUUUAUGAACUUAUAUAUACAUUACUUGUUCAUUUCAUUCUUUUUAGGACAAGUUAAGUUUGAGUACAUUUAACUAUGAACUAUUCAAUGCAAGUUAAGAUUUUGUCCAAAAACCUCAUUAAACCAUCAUUACCAACGCCACAACACCUUAAAAAUUACAAGUUAUCUUUCUUUGAUCAAGUGGCGGAUGUAGCACACUUACCUCUUGUUCUUUUCUAUCCUCAUUGUGACAAUAACAUGAAAAAUGAUGAACUCGAAGAGUCCUUAUCGAGGAUUUUAACACAUCUUUACCCUUUAGCUGGUCGAUUUGCUGAAGAUGAAUCGUCAAUUAUUUGUCUCGAUCAAGGUGUAACUUAUAUAAAAGCAACGGUCAAUUGUAAGCUUGAUGAUUUCCUUCAACAAGCAAACAAAGACGUUGAUCUAGCAUUGCCAUUUUGGCCUCAAGGAAUUAUGGAUGUGGACGAGACGAAUUUAUUCGUCAUGCCACUUCUGGUUGUGCAAGUCACAACAUUUGAAUGUGGUGGUCUAGCCCUAGCUAUUAGCCAUGCACACCCUGCUAUGGACGGAUGCACCACAUUCAAAUUCAUUUAUGAAUGGGCUAAAGUGUGCAAAUUUGGUACUCCUUCUAAGGAUAUCAACUUGAACCUCAAUUUAGGCACUCUUUUCCCUUACAAAGAUUUAACAACUAUUCUUGAGCCUCCGGUUGACGAAGGCAAACGUAAAAACUCUAAGUUAGUUGCCAGAAAGUUUGUUUUUGAGGAAGAUGCAAUAUUGAGGCUCAGAGAGAAAUUUGACUCAACAACUAGCGAAGGUUUGAGUUUCAAACCUUCGCGAGUUGAGAUGAUUACAACACUUUUAUGGAGGUCACUUAUCCGUUCCACAGGAAGUACUUCACAUUUGAAACGGUC
rnacentral:lncRNA from 1 species